GUCAAACAAGUUUUAUUUGAACAGAUUGAAACUGUCAUUUAAGCAGAUACGGAGUAGUCAUAAUUAUUUUAGCACGUGAUUUGGUAGGAGCUCGUAUCAGUUCUGCUGCGUACUUCACAUUUCUCAUUCCCAAAAUCUCAAGUUAUUUUAUUCAGCUCAGAACUGAGCUAUUUUCAAAUACUACUUAAAAUUAUUUGCUUUGUCCAGACUGAUUGUAAUAUACGUGGUUCGUCAGAAUUUCAGUUUGUUUGACCUGAUUGGAAGUGUCAUUAAGCAGAUAGUCAAAAUUCACAUUAGCACGACUUGGUAAGAACUAAGAGCUCAAAUCCUUUUGUGUUCUCAGUUCUCACUCGGUCACUCCAAGAUUCUGAAGUCAAAUUAUUCGGAGCAAGUCUUUGCUCACUUUUUCAUAAGAAAUAUUAGCUUAUUAUUAGUGGCAAACCAUAAGAUAAGCCUGUACAGAUAGGAUCAAUCUCUUUUAUUCACAACUGUAUGGACAAGUUGAAUGCACGCGCCAUACCAGAGGAUGGCGAGUGCCAGAAUCAUAGCCCGAUUGUUUUCGGCAACGUACAGCGCUGAAAACGCUACUAAUAGAAGCGCAUCAGAGACUCUAAUUUAUUGCCUCAACGAUAGGUCACAGCAAUUAAUUUGAUUUUCUCUGUAGUCAUUAGCUUAAGCAACUGUUGACGGUUCUUUCUCCGUCCAUCUCAAUCAUUGAGUUGAUCAGCGCAAGGAUUUUCUUUUUGACUAACAGGAGAACGAAUCCUUUUUAAAGAUCAACUGAAAGAACAGAUCUAGUCGGAAAAGGGGGAAAUUGAGCAGAUCGAUUGACUGUACGGACAAGUUGAAUGCACAGGCCAUACGAGAGGAUGGCCACUGCCAGAAUCUUAGCCCGAUCACUCUCGGCAACGUACAGCGCUGAAAACGCUACUGAAAGAAGCGCAUCAGAGACUCUAAUUUAUUGCCUCGAAACUAGUUCAGAAACACUACAAGCACAGGAAACUAUUGGAUCCAGAUCGAAGAUUCGAGGGAGAGAAAAAAAAAGAGGAGAAAGGUUGCAUUAGACUCACGACAGCUUUGUGCAAUCAACAGAGCGUAUGAUUGUUCAGAGUUUGAUGGUAUGUAUGAGCAAAUCAUCAUCGUCCAACGCAGAACCGAAUCACCAAGAACAAAUCACAGAAGAAAAGGAAAAAACAGAGAGGAAACCGGGCAACGAGAAAUCAAUCGGAAACUGAAGCAAGCGGAGAAGAACGGCGGCGGUGGCGGCCGGGGAGUGAAAGGUUACCUUCGAAUGUCAGGUGCCCGAUUAUAUAGAGCGGCCGCCGGGGGCUGCAAACCCUAGCGACCUUGGAAAUUUACUCGUUUGCCCUUGUCGAUUGGCUCGGAGAGCGAUCGUGAAACCCAAUGGGCCUUCUAUGGUUGUGGAUCCAUUCGCUUCCGACUUCGGCGGCCCACGUAUAGGAUUAAGGCCCGGUACACAGCCGCACCUAGCUCUAAAUCCAACGCCAAGAAUCUCGCACUGGGGUAUUGCUCCCACAAUUAUACAGAGUAUAUUUUCAUGGAAAGCCAACAAAGCUUCUCAACUUGACAUGUGUCCAUAUGCCUAUAUAUCCCUUCAGGUUACAAUCUUUCUCGUCAACUGGCGCGACGAAGCGCGCACAGAUCGAACCGAACAAAAUCAGACCUCAAAUCAAAUGCACAUACGGGGAAAAAAGAAGAAACAAAAAAUGGAGAAGAAGAACAAAGCUCGAGAUUGGAGUGAGAGCAGCUCGAAUGUUAUUCCGGCGCAGCCGCGGCGGCGUCCGCACGUCGUGCAUCAGCACACCAUGCUGCUCUUCUUCUUGGCGACGAGCCUCUUCCAGAAGGUGGUGACCUCCUUCUCGAUCUCGUGCACCGACUUCUUGGCCGGGUGGUCGUGGCCCGCCUUCUUCCCGGCGUGCGCGUCCAUGUCCGCCAUGGUCUUGCCCAGGUCGGCGAUAAGCCGCUCGGCGAGGCUGCGGCUGAAGUCCUCGCGGAUGACGACGCGCAUCACGGCGACGUGCUCGGCGUCGGCGGGCAUGGUGUAGGCCGGGACGAUCCAGCCGAAGCGGCGGAGGCUCUCGGCCACCUCGAACACCGUGUACUUGGAGGUGUCCUUGAGGGAGAAGGCCACCAGCGGCACGCCCGAGUCCUUGGACACCACGUCGAAGUAGCCCAUCUUCUCGAUGCCCUCCCGGAGCACCGUCGCGUUGUCGCGGCAGUUCUGCAUCACGUCCUUGUACCCCUGCCGUGCCCAUAACAUCAGUUGCAGAUAGAAUUGGUCUUAUAGUGUUUCCUGAUUUGUACAUGGACCUUAACAAGCUUAAAAACUUUUUCAUCUGUGCGUAUGUUUGCAUAAACUAGGAUUGCUUUUUCGAAUGACAUUGAAUGGACUGAUGGUGAAGAACAUUCGGAUAGCAUGAAGAAGUAAUGGACGGCAUCACAACAGUCUGAACAGCCAGCUGAAACUGAACAUGCAUGGAUUGCGUGUUUGUUCGCUUGCAGAUGCAAACAACACACGUUUCUGUGCGUUCCUUGCAAACACAAGCAACAAACAAGCCUCGGAUGUAAACCGUAGCAACAAUUACCUCAAAUCCGAGACGGAUGAGCUGGUAAUACUGCGCGAUGAUCUGGCUAGACCCUGCACAAAAUUAGAUAUGUCAGAGUUCAGCAUCUUAAUCGGCAACGAGAUGCUAAUAUGUGUCUGGCAUGGCGAUGAUCUUCUCGUGCCUUUGGAGAAGUUGAGCGUGAAGGUGGGCUGGUCCGCGCCGAGGUAGUUGAUGUGGAAGAUGAGCUCGUCGGGGAGGUCCUCCUUGCUCCUCCAGAUGACCCAGCCGACGCCGGCGUAGACGAGGCCGUACUUGUGGCCGCUGACGUUGAUGCUCUUCACCAGCGGCAGCCGGAAGUCCCACUCCAGCUCCGGGUAGAUGAACGGCGCGAUGAAGCCGCCGCUCGCCGCGUCCACGUGGAUCGGCGUGUCCCACCCCGUCUCGGCGUUCUUGGCGGCGAGCAGGUCGUUGAGCAUCUUGACGUCCUCGAACUCGCCGUUGAGCGUGGAGCCGAGGAUGGCGGCGACGCAGAUGGUGUUCUCGUCGACCAUCUCGGCGGCCUUCUCGGGGUCCAUGACGUAGUAGCCUUCCCUGAGCUUCACCUCCUUGAGCUCCACCUCGAAGUAGCGCGCGAACUUCUCCCAGCACACCUGGACGUUGGCGCCGGUGACGAUGUUGGGCUUGUCGUAGGGUUUCCCCGCCGCCUUCAUCUUGUUCUGCCACUUCCGCUUGAACGCCAGCCCGGCCAGCAUGAUUGCCUCCGAGGAGCCGACGGUGCCCACGCCGACGGCCGUCUCGUCGUCGCCGAUCGGGGCGUUGAAGAGGUGCGCGAUCAUGUUGACGCACCGGUUCUGUUCUUUUCCCCAGUGCAAUGCAAACUCGAUCAGCAGAGAUCAGCAGCAGUUCAGAGAUGAUGAUGGAUCCCGCGUAGUACGUGUACCUGGAGCUCGGUGGUGACGGGGGUACUCGUCCAUGUCGACGUAGUUCUUGUUGAUGGAGGCCUGGAUGAGCUUGUCGCACUCGGGCUCCAUCCACGUGGUGACGAAGGACGCCAGGUUCAGCCGCGGGUUCCCGUCCAGCAUCAGCUCGUCGUUGAUGAUCUGGUACGCCGCCUCCUUGGGGAUCGAUUGCUCCGGGAUCUUGAACCUGCGCACACCGCCGGCCGGCCGAUCAGUCCCCGGGACACGCAGCUGAAACUGAAAUCAGGGACGGCGGCGCGCCAUCGCGAUCGCUGCCGUGUUGUUACCUCGGGAGCGCGGUGCGCACGUAGCGUGACGCGAAGGUGGAGCAGUGCAGGGACUCGCCGGCGUUCGUCUUCGCCGUGGACAGCGCCAUUUCGGCUCAGUGGAUGCGGAUCUCUGGGUUACGCGGCGAAUUUCUCCGAGACGGGGGGGGGGGGGGGGGGGGGGGGGGGGGGGGGAGCGGAUCAGAGAGGACAGAGCGGAGCGGUGGGAGGAGCGGUUUUAUAAAGGGGAUGGAUGGGCCGGUGCGCGCGACGUGGUCGGGGCGCCCAUGGUUCUUGCGGAGACGAACGGGGGAGCAAGCAGCACGGCAUCCGCUCGUAUGCCGGGCAGGGCGCAGGUGUUUCGGCGCUGGACUCGGGGUGGGUCUCUCGCUCCGAUCUCCUGCUCGUCGCCCACUCGCAGAGACAACAGGAGGUAGCUGUUCCUUUUUCUUCUUUUGCGUGUCCAGUUGUGGCAUCUGCGCGGCGCUGAUGUCAUCUACGGAGUAGGACAGUAUAGGAGUACGGGAACAUAUCCAAUUUUGGCAAAGGUACCACAUGACUAGGCACGAUGUAACCAUUUAUUACAUGUCACGAAAAAUGUCUUUUGAGUUUUGACCAUGGAUGGUACAAAACGCGGCACACUGAAACCUGAUUCCAUCCGGAGGGAGCAUAUCAUAGAGGAUCCUGCGACAUCCAUCUUCUAAACAUUGUUUGGCACUCCAAGGGCCUAUACAAUGGAGCAAUAUGCCCAGCACCCUGCAAUGUUGAAUACACAAAUAAACGCAAAAGAUUGUUAUCUGAACAUACAUUAUGAUAUAAAACGUAGUGCAUAUAGCUAAAAAUCUUCGAAGUACACUGUCAACUGACAGCAUUUUCCUACAGCACUGACCUUCACGGUUGCAAAUGUUAGGUUGCUCGAGUAUCUCCUUGUGAAUCUAGGAAACAAAAUAAUUAGCUGGUUAGAGGAAUAUAAGAGUAGAGCAGUAUUAAUCUAUACAGAUCUAGCAGCUGGGAGGAAGUUGCCAGUUGAAGAUUGCUGAUGUGCAGUUUUUGUUUAAGAUUGUCAUACGCGCAUAUAUUGGUAUUUUCUUUUCAAAAAACAUUUACUAAUCUUACUAUUACUGCUAAAGGCUCCUCGAAGCCUACACGUGAAGUCACCUAGAAUCCUAGGUGAACACUUAGAAGAAGAGAGAAAUUCUAAAAAAUUCUCACAAAAAUACUAUUACUAAUUGGAGACCCUUUUGAAGUCUACAUGUGAGCCACCUAGGAUGAUCCUAGGUGAACACUUUAGAAAAAGAGAGAAAUUCUAGAAAUUCUCGCAAAAAAGUAAAACAACUAGCCAUCAAUCGGUAGACUCAAAUAAUCGUAGCCAUUGGAUCUAUAUGUCUUCUAAAAAAUUACACACCUAUGGUAUUAUGAAAAUAGCCUAAAGUAACCCUUAAAUCUAUAUCUAAAUUACCCACCUCUACCAUUGUGUAAUAAAUUAAAGUAACCCCUAAUAUUCAUCAAAAUUACCCACUUAUGCCAUUAUAAAUAAUAUUUAAAAUAAACCCUAAAUUUGCAACUAAAUUGCCCACCACUAAUACUCCAAAAUAUAACUUAAAGUAACCUUUUAAAUUUGCAUCUACAUUACCUAUAUAUGCUAUUAUUAAAAAUAACAUGAAGUAAACCCACAUUUCAAUCCAAAUCACUUUAAUUAAAAAUAUACACCAAUAUAUGAUUCUAAAUCAUCUAUCUAAAUCAUCUAUUUCUUACCUGCGAUAUAAUAAUUAAGGUUUAUACGUAUGAUGUGCAUCACCAUUUGUAAAGAUAUAGAGAAAGUGGUGAGAAUAUAGAUUUCUAUAUUAAAAUUAUAGCUCAAGCUUAUAGUCCAUUAAACAAAUUCAAGUGCUUACCAACUAUGCAAACUAAUUAAAAUCUGUAACGAUCAGUUGAAUAAUCAGAUGAAGAUAACAAGUAUAUAGAUAUAUACGUAUUGUAGCUCAAGAUAAUAGUUUUGUAGCAAGUGUGGACUUAUUUUUUUUUCAUUGAAGGCUCCUCAUUAGUUCUCACGAGACAUGCUAGAAAAAAAUCCUAAAAAUUUUAACAAAGAUAAGAAAAAUCAAUCCUAUAAAUAUAAUAAUCAUAGAUAUUGAUCUAUUAUAUUUUCUAAAAAGUUAACCACCACUAUCAUAUAAAAAUAUUCAAAAGAAACCCUAAAUCUAUAUCAAAAUUAACGAGCUAUACCAAAUAAUUUAAAAUAAUCUCAAAAUCUUCAUCCAAUUUACUCAUGCAUAUCAUUACAAAGCAUAACUUAAAAUGACAUUCUAAAUUUGUAUCUAAGUUACUGACGUAUGUCGUUAUCAGAAAUAACCUAAAAUAAACACCUAAAUCUUAAAUCUUAAUCUAAUUAUCUUCAAGUGCAUCAUACAGAAAUGUCCAAAAGUAAACUAAUAUAUUAUUAUAAAUUAUCUAUUUAUGUCAUUGUUAAUAUAGAAAUAUUAAGUUAGGGUAUAUAUGCAUGUAUCACCAUGUAGUAUACAUACAUGUAUGUGAGGAAGUGAUGAAAAAUAUUGAUUUUUAUACUAAACACAAUGUAUGGAGGUGCGAUGCAGAAUGAAAAAAAGUGUAAAUGUGGAUGAAAAAGUGUAUAGAGUAAUUAUUAAUUAAAAAUCAAUCAUAAUUGAACAAAGAUAAGCACACAUCUAUAUGAGUAUCGUGUUGCAGUAUUAAAAAAAUGAGAGAGUAGCUAGAAGUUUAAUUUCUAAAUAAUUUUUAAAUACAAUAGAUUUUAAAAACAUUAGUCCGUGCGGGAGUACACGAGUUGAUGGACCAGUACUUUAGAAUAUUCUAAAGAAAACAUUCAACAAGGAUAUAACAACUGCUAUCAAGUGUCAGACAACACAUCAAUUCAUCAAGCGUACGUAUGUGACAUUCCAGAUUAAGCAAGUGAUGAUGUAGAAGCAUGCUCCUUACCCAGCAACUUGGUCACCAACAUACCAUGGUCGCCAGUCAUCUACGAUGGUCAAGUUUAGGUGUCUAAUCCAUGCUUGUGUGCCAACAUGGGUUAUACCGGGAUCGUGAUCGCCACUGCAUGGUAAAUUCGUUAGGCAACCAAGAAUUCAAUGUAGGGUAAGCAUGCCAAAUAAUUUCUACUCCCUAGCCCAACAACAGUGCAAAUAUUGCACGGUCCAUAUAGUCUUCGAGUGGCUAUGCAGUAAAUCUGCAGCCUGCAAUACAAAGCACUAUACUUCCUUGGGCUAAUUACCUGUAUAUGAGAGCUGCGUAUCCUUUUGUGGCUAGCCUUGAAUGAUACUCCACUGCACUCUGGAUGUCUUCAGUGUAAGACAAUCCAUGGUUAAAUCUUCUCCAUUCUCCAAUUGUUCCCUGGAAUGUGGCACAAACAAACUCCAGUGAGAAAAUGUGCUCUUUGCUUUCUCUAGACUAGAUUGUGUGCCAAGAUCGCCGGUACCUUUCGAACACCAAGGCUCUCCUGAAUUGUUGCAUCAUUUCCCCAUAUGUCGGAUAGAACGUACUCAGCUUCCUGCAGCAAAAGGAAAGUGUUUGUAUGACAACAGAGUCAGAUAAAGCUUAACCACUAGUUGAUCCCUGACCGAAAUUGGACGAAGGAGAUCGAAUGAACAGUUUAAGGGUUGUGAGAUUCUUUGGCGAUCUUUGGCACUCAACUGGACAUUUGAACCCGGACAGAAACUCUGCAGACUCUAGCAUCACCCGACUAAUUCCGUCUGCCAGUGCCACAGUCUUGGUGCUCCACACCACAUCAGGGCAAGCCGGCUCCAGGAUGUGUUGCCCACUGAGAUCCCUUGUGCACUGCAUUUUCAUAACUUAGGCGGUAAAUCAUGUGAGCCAAUAUCAGGUUGCAAUGAGACACAUAAGCACAAUAUAUAGCCCCACUUGAGAGAUGCAAAAGGUGACUAAAAUUUGGGAAUCAGAAUUCAGAAUAUGUGACAAGCUACUGUCAUAAGCUUAACUAAUGGUUCAUAGUCAUCACAGCUUUCAAGUUUGUGCACCGACCUUUCAAGUUUGUCUACAUGUAACUGUUUGUGAUACUCUGUUUGCAUUGCAGAAGGCAUAAUUGAAAUUGUAUAAUGCAAGACUACUUUUGAUAAUAUACCUAAUGGUGCCGUUUCACACGAUCAAGUUCCAAAUAAUGAGAUCUGUAACAGUAUCAACUUAAGUACUCACAUUCUUUAUAGCUUGGAUGGCCUCUGUGCAUGCAGCGUUGCUAGGAGCACUAUAUUUUCCACCACAGUUCCCCCUAGCAUUCUGCAAGUAAAAAUAUGUGAAACAUAAUAAUAGUAUUUUUUGAAUGAAAGAUAUGUCAUUGCAACUGCGUUGAUCACCUUGAUGGUUAUCUUUAAAGCAUCUAGAACUAUAGUUGAAAGUAUGUUAUGUAAAUCAUUUUAAAAAUUUCAUGAGAUGAUGGAUCACCUCGUAAAGCUCAUCUGAUACAAGUCCCAUGCCAUGAAGAUAUGGAAUUUGGCCGUCCGUAUCAAAUUGGCUGUCAGUCACCGGGUUGCCAGCAAUGUACCCCUGAGUUUGUGUAGAAAAUAAAAAAAAAUUGAAUUAUACAUGUGCUCUAUAACCAACCAAGGCAGCACUGAAAUUGCCAAGCUACUCCUAGCCCGGAAUACAGAUCAGGUACAUACUGAAUUCAGUGAGGACUAUGUGAAAAAAAUAUCACAUUAAACCAAAUGUUACCCACCAUAUUUUAACACAUGAAUAAAUUUCAUUGCAGUCCUAGAUCUUUAGCUUAUUAUCACAUAAAUUGAAUCCUUCGUCUCAUUCACUCAUGAAUCAGGUCCUAAUUAUCUUACCAAUUAGCAUGUUUUUUAAGCAUCUUGCUCCUUCGAAAUUUAGUAACUUAGGUUUAUCCUUAUUUUCAUUUUUUUGCACUUUUGUAGAUUAAUCAUUUUUUCUUUUACAUCCUAUGGAUUAAUUAAGACUCCUUGUCUUCUUAUUGGUUACUUGAUCUUGAAAUCAGAAUCUAAAUUAAACAUUACGUGAAUAUUUACAUCACUACAGUAGAAUGCGCAUGCAAUUGUUAUUGAUUGUGUUGAUACAUAAGGAGUGGACAUAAAAAAUGUAUAUUUUCAUGGUCCGAAUGAUGUUAUUCGGUUAUUCCCGAACCAAGAAACAUGAGAAAAGAAAAAAAGGUCCCUAUUUUUCCCAGAAAAGAUAAAAAAGAACCAUUUGAGAGAAGAAUAAAUGGGCAAAAUUAAUAAUCGAGGUAAGCUCAGGACAAAUAUCUUAGUGAACAUUGAAAUAUUUUCACCAGACCUUGAGAUUGAAAAGUGGUUUUUCACCAAGUUCUAUACCUGCAAAUUGUAAAAAAGUUGUUAACAGUGCCUCAUGUGUAAAAUAAAAAAAUGAUACAGUGAAUCGAAUAUUUGUUUUUUUAUAGACAUAAUCACAUAAACCAUGUCCAUGUCCGGCAGGGCGUACUAGGACUGUUCUUUAUUACCAACAUUUGGGUGGCCAAACAGAUUAGCAACUAUUGUACUCGUCACCAGUAAUAUUGGAUUAAAGAUAUUGCAAAACCCAGACAGUCUAAAGCAAAAGUUGUUGUUUUGAUUCAGGGGCAUCAUUUUGACUAUAAGAUCAACUUAGUUAUAGCCUUUUUAUAGAGUAAUGCGCAUAUAUAUAUAGUGCGCCGUCAGAGAAUUUUCUAUUCACUCAUAGAUCUCACCCAAUUAAAAAGUUCCAUGAUCUAGAGAACAAAUUUGAAAGGAAGCUUACUUCUGUCGAUUUCUAAUGUAAGACCAGGAAUGAUGAGACCACUGUAUGAAUCCCCAGCAAUGUAAAGCGGAUUCGACAGGAACCGGGGAUGAUCUUGAAGCCACUGCACACAACCAUUCUCUCAGAGCAUACAGAAAGUAGUAUUUUAUUCACGCAGACAAAAUGUUACAGUCUGUUGCAGUCUUGCAGAGUGGUGGCUACUCUAUAUAGCGUUAUAGCAAGUAACGUCAGGCAACAUCAAGAGCCUUGUUUAGUUACCCAAAAUUCCAACCUUGACACUAUGCAAAAAGAAAAUUCCUAUCACAUCAAACUUACGGUACAUACAUGGAGUACUGAAUGUAGACGAAAUCAAAAAAUAAUUGCACAGUUUGGUUGUACUUUGCGAGACAAAUCUUUUAAGCCUAAUUAGUUAAUAUUUGGACAAUAAUUCACAAAUACAAACGAAACACUACAGUAUAUUAUAGUGCUAGCGCAGUGAUUUUAGUUGUCCAAAAUCGGGCAUCUAAACAGCCCCUAGGACGGCCAAGCAGUCCUCGGGCGUGUUGACCUGCUGUGCUGCUCGAGUCUGAGACAGGGGAAGGAGGAGGCACUGACCUUUCUGAGAAAAAUGACCAGCUGCUCCACUGCUUUGGUGUCAUUGGCCUUGAGCCCUUCCUCCGUCGUGGCGUAGGAGAACCCAGUCCCCACCGGGGAAUCCACGAAUAUGAUGUUGCUCGUCUUGGUCGAUGUCUCCGGCCGGUAGAGCAGGGUUGGGAACCCGCCUCUGUACCCUUUGGCAUCAAACUUUAGGGGUCCUAUGCACACGCGCAUUUCACCCCUGGGUUAACACGCAAAUCUCCCGUCGACGAACUCGGUGCGGCCGGCGAAGAGAAUGGCGGCGGCGCAAGCCGGGGGUUACCUAUCUCGUAGGCGAGGCCGGAGAUGCCGGAGCAGCCGGGCCCGCCGGACAGCCACAGCACCAGCGGGUCCUCGUCCGAGUCCUUCUCCGACCGCACGAAAUAGUAGAAGAGCUGCACGCCGUGCCGCUCGUCCACCUCCACGUACCUGCAGCAUCCCAGCGCAGCAGCACGCAGCGGCCGCUGCCGCCGCACCGGCGGUGAGAACGAAGCGAGAUAAAGCACGGGGGUUUGCACUUUGCAGGGACAGAUCUCGGCGGCGCGGCGAGUGCGUACCCGGUUUCGAGGUAGAACGGGAGGGGCCCGUCGAACCCGCGCAUGUGCGUGACGACGUGGCCGCUGCCGCCGGCCGGCCAGAGCCGGAGGCUGGCGGCGAGGAGGAGCCACAGCGACAGCAGCAGCGAACGCUUGCCGCCGCCGCCACUGUUCCUGUUCGACAUGGCUGUCGACUGCCGCUGAUGAUGGAGCGGAGUGUCCGCCGAUGGUUGCUCGGCGCGUUAGCGGCGGCUCGCACAUUUAAAACGCCCGCGCGAGCAGGGUAAGCUUGACGUGGACGAUCGUCCUGAUGAAGGCAGCGGCAGCACGACGCGUGGACGUUUCUUGUUUGUUCCCUGUCUCUCUCGUUCAAGACUCAAGAGGUUCCGAACUUCCAACCACUUUGCGUUACCUACCCUUUGAAAAAUGUACUUUUUUUGGGUCGCAGUCCGUAUCGCCCUGCGAUGUAACGGAUGAGUAGUUGGGAGAAAGCUUUCCCCCUCGACCUCCUAAAAAAUCUACUCUUAAUGUGUAAAAGUAAAUUGAGUUUUGAAUUCAAAUUUUUCGAGACGACGUAUAAUUCAAAGUUCCUAUAAUUUUUUAGAACAUGUAAGAUUCCUAUAACUAAGGGGUGUUUGGAUACUAGGUGCUAAACUUUAGCAGUGUCAUAUCAAAUGUUCGAAUGCUAACUAGAAGGACUAAACAUGAACUAAUUAUAAAACUAAUUACAGAACUCCUAUGCUAUUUCACGAGAUGAAUCUAUUAAGCCUAAUUAAUCCAUCAUUAGCAAAUGGUUACUGUAGCACUACAUUGUCAAAUCAUGGACUAAUUAGGUUUAAUAGAUUCGUCUCGCGAAUUAGACUCCAUCUGUGCAAUUAGUUUUAUAAUUAGCCUAUAUUUAAUACUCCUAAUUAGCAUCCAAACAUCCGAUGUGAUAUAUGCUAAACUUUAGCAUGGGGUAUCCAAACACCCCUAAGAGACGGCCACAGAUAUUAGUAUCCUUUUCGGUCCUAUUUCAUUUUUUCCUUUUAUUUUGAGAGGUUCCUGGCCCUAUUAGCUAGGUCCAUUACUUUCCUUUUGAGACUGGGUCGUGAAACAGGCUGAAAGCCUACCCAACUGCAAUGUAACAGAGUGAUGGGCUUUACGGAUACUGGGCCAAACCGCUUCAGUCUCUCAGCUGUCUCUAGUGUGAACGAGAGCUUUGCCAACGCACAACCCUAGUGUCUAGUGAGCAACAGCGGCCGCCGGCGAGACACCUGCGCGCGGCGGGGAGUGGGAAGGCAGGCGCCGGGCACCUGAAACCAGCGGUGGCAGGUUCGUGUCAGUGCGGCACCAUUAAGCAGCUGCCGCAGGCAGUCGGCGCCACCGCAGCACCGGGCAGGUCGAGGCGAGGACUGAGCAGGUACAUAUUCCAAAUUUCCAAGGACACCCAUCAACUGAUAACUGAUAAGUCCUGCCUUUGUAGUCCGAUGCAUAAUUGCAGCUACGCUAGACGCACAAUCGAGGCGAAUUCGAUUAAUACCCUGUUAUAAUAUUCGAACCAAUAUAUGCGCCAGCUCCCAGCUCUCUAAUGGGUGAAUCUCGCUUCUGUUUUCUUUUUCUAUUUUUAUCUCUAGGAAUAGGAUUAUUUUACUGAAGCACACGAAAUGGCUGUUGAACCAUUAGAACCUAUAUUAGCUCAUCAUUCUACUUGUAUCGAUAGACUCCAACAAUUGUUUAUUCAUCCAUAUGUUAUAUAUACAUUGGCAGUGGGUAUUUAGAUUCCUCAAUAAUGGAAAAUAACGAUGUCAAGAUGCAUUCGAAGUUGUAAAACUCAACAAAAUUCUAGUAAUCAAACUUCAAGCUUGGUUGAUGACUUGACUUGUGACUAGCACACAUUAAUGAGCUAUAUAUUGGUGAUUGGCGCAUCAUUCAUCAUUUGGGUACUAUCACCAGUUCCUCAAUCUCAUUGUUUUUCGCUUUGCUUCUGCUCUACUUAUGUAUAAAUUUGGCUUGAACAAUGCAGUUUUAUGUAGGUUCCUUAUGCAUAUCCUGAAUUUGAGUCCUGCGUACGCUGUCUAUACCACCCCUGCCACACCACUCAAGCACAGAGAACCACACAAACAGCAGGCCAUGGCAUCACUGGCGGGAAGGAGCAGCAUCCGCCACUCCAAGAUUCCAGAGUUCUUGGUGGGCCCUAGUGGGCAACCGAUGCCAGCAGUAGGGCUUGGCACGGUGUCGCACCCAUUCGUGGAGGACGAAGUUAGGGCCGCUGUGCUCACCGCGCUGGAGCUCGGCUACCGUCACAUCGAUACCGCAGCGCUGUAUGCCUCUGAGCGGGUUGUCGGCGAGGCCAUGGCUGAGGCAUUGCAGUCUGGGAUUGUGGCAUCUAGGGAGGAGCUGUUUGUGACGAGCAAGGUGUGGUGCACACAGUGCCACCCUGAGCUCGUGCUCCCAUCCCUUAAGGAGAGCUUGCAGUAAGUUUCUGGAGCUUGAUUUUGCCUCCUGCCUAUUUGGAAUCUUAUAGUAAACUUUGCAGUGAAAUACUUGGUUCCUUAAACCAAUUUCUCACUUAGGUAAUUAAGAGAUAUUGGUGCGGUGAAUUUGUAUGGGGUGCCCAUCUAAUUGUUAGCCAUGUUUCAGGCUUGCAGCUAUUAUUGAAACCAGAGCUCAAAGUAUUGUUAAAUUUGGAAUCUGGAAACAGUUCACAACUAGAAGUUGAAAUCAACCCUGAUUUAGACCCAAUCAAGUUACUGAAUUUAAGGUUAUUCUGUAAAAAAAUUUAACAGAUUGAACCGUUACAUCCUGUUUGAAAUCAAAAUUCUAUGUACCGAACAUUUGUAGUCUAUACCGAAAGCAAAUAUGCAACUUCAAAUGUUAGUUCAUAAACCUCACAGCAUUAAAGUUAGUACAGAAAUUAUAUGUUUACAAGUUGUAAUUGAAUUGGCACUAUAAGUUACUGUAUUUAACCACUUCUGCAGUAGCCGGCAUUACCUAUAGAAAUAAUCUACUUUGGUGAUAGGCAAGAUACUUACCUCUCCAUCUGCAGGAACCUUCAAAUGGAAUAUGUUGAUUUGUACCUGAUUCAUUGGCCCAUGGCUGUAAAGCCUAGCAAGCCUCAUUUCCCAAUGAAAAGGGAGGACAUUGUGCCGAUGGACCUGAGUGGUGUAUGGCAGGCUAUGGAGGAAUGUCAUCGGCUUGGCCUUGCUAAAAUGAUUGGUGUUAGCAAUUUCACAACAAAGAAGCUGCAGGAGCUGCUUUCCAUUGCAAAAAUACCUCCAGCAGUAAAUCAGGUUUGUAUUAAUCAAUUAAUGAAUCGCUGAUGGCAAUAACCCUCUAGAUUUCUGUUGUUAGCUACCAAUCUUUAAUUUUUCCAAGUUUCUUGUAUGACUACCAAUCUAUUUUUGUAUACCUCAUGUUAAAGAAACCAAUAUAUUUUACUAUAUUUUAUUAGACCAAAGGCUUUUGGUUUUGGCCCAGCUUUAUAGAAAGCAAAGAUCAUCCAUUGGAGUUACCAGCUUUACAAAAAAGCUAGCAAAAAAUCAUGCAACUCCUACUUAGAGCUUACUAGGCCUUAGACAGAGGAGACCAAGAAACCUCAUCAUGGCGACAUCAGCUAAUGAGUUUUCUAGUUUCCUGAUCAAGGACUUAAAAAAAACUCUCACUCUAGAAUCCCUCCAAACUGUAAUCUUCGCGCAAAAUAUAUUGCUAUCCAUGACAACUGAAAGAGAACAUGGUAUAUCGGUUAUCCAACAUCAACGGGUAGAAUUGGAUAUGUCUCUUGACGUAGCCUCACAAGCUUUCCCUUCAGUCUCUGUCCACCCAUUGUUGACCAUCCUCCUUGUUUAACUGCUUCCAUCGCUGCAUAAGGGACACCAUAUGGAAGAUCACAGUCUCUGUGGAAGAGGCUGCAAUGUUUUGAAAGACUAAAACAUUCUUAGUCAACCAUAAGGUCCAACAUACACCUCCAAGCAUGAAAUAGGGUUCUGUUUUAGCUGUUUAUUUUGAACUUGAACCAGUAGUGUUUGGCAGCUCUCUAAGCUAACUGGGACAUGCUGCCACUGAAAGAUAUCUCUGCACAUACUCCACACACACGCAGCCAUAGAGCAUUGAACACUAUAUUAUCGGUUAUUUCAGUCACGCUGUUCUUCUUUGCACUCAGGAGUGCUUGGCCAGUUCUUCAACAACGGUUCAGCUGAUUGAAUCCUAUCAUUAUAGACUUGCCACAUGAAAACUAAUUUUUAAUAGCAAUUUAUCUUUCAACAUAUCAACCAUUGUAUUGUCUGUAACGGUGUAACCUCUGGAAACCUCACAAAUUUAUAUAAAGAUAAGGUGGAUAAACCCUGACUUCUCCAGUGCCAAACUCACUAUACUGAACUUUGAGCCGAGCUGAUGAAACUCAUUCUAUAUGGUCGUAUCUUUUAUAAGUUCAAGUCUUCCAUAUCAUCUCAAUGUCACAUCAGUGGUAGUCAUGCAUGUGAUAACCUCUGCAGGUUGAAUUGAAUCCGACUUGGCAGCAGAAAAAACUAAUUGAGUUCUGCAAAGAUAAGAGUAUUCAGGUGGCUGCUUAUUCUCCCCUGGGAGGCCAAAGAAUACCUAAAAUGAAUCCAGUACGACAAUCUGAUGUUCUGGAAGAGAUUGGAAGGACCAGAGGGAAGUCAGUGGCUCAGGUAUGAACUGUAUUCUCUCAAUGCAUCUUCAUCUUACUAGAGCAAUUCACUUGAUUUCUCAUCCAAACUCAAAAUCUUUGAAUGCUCUCACAUAUUUAUCAAAUUCGGUGUAGAGGUGAUGAUUGCACAGUAUUUCUUGGCUAAAAACUAAUUGCACAUAUUUAUCACCUUACUAGGGCUUGCACAGUAUUUCUUGGCUAAAAAACUUUAUGCAGUUUGGCAGUGCACCUAAUAUGUAGUUUAACAAGCAAACGCAUGAGAAAAACACACUAACAGCUCAACAAAACGAUCUAAUCUGUGUUCUGAACAAAAUGUGACAGAAAUCUGAAUUCAAUACUGGCAACCUGUCGCAUUCUUGCAGUUUUGCUAACAUUAUGUGAUUUUACCAACUCAACUAACUUCCCAUUCCCCCCAGAUUUCACUGAGAUGGAUCUACGAGCAAGGUGCAAGCAUGGUGGUGAAGAGCUUGAAAAGAGAAAGGCUUAAGGAGAACAUCGAGAUUUUCGAUUGGGAAUUGAGUGAUGGAGACCGGUCGAAGAUUGGUCAGAUACCACAGCGCAAGUUGAUCACAGUACAGAAUCUUCUCUGCCCUGAAGGCAUCUCCAGUGUGGAUAUCUCGGAUGUUGAUGUUUUUGAAAUGUAGCUGUGAUCUCCGAAUAUUUGUGGUGGAUGAAGAAUUUAGUGUAUAGCAGGUUUAUACGUCAGAAGCAGGUAAGGCAUCUUUUUCACAUGUAGUCCCAAGAAAGUAGACAUAGGCUAAAUCCUUUGUUCCCAUGACUUUUCUUUUCCUGCAGGUUACCUGACUCUGCUCUGCGCAAUCUGUGAUAAGAUUAAAUUGCACAAAUUUUCGCUAGCACAUAUACCAUCCAUGCUGACUUUUAUUCUGAGUCACUGAGAUAUGUUAUAUAUGUUAGCAUUGAACCUAAGACUGCUUAAUGGCGUAGCUUUUUCGUUUGUUGACCACAUCAGCUUUGCUCUUUUCCAGUAAGCAGCCUUUUUUUUGGGUUCUAACUAGGGAGGUUGCAGUUGUCCUUGCAUUUUGAAAGGUUCAGCUCAUUGAGCAUUUUCAAUCGAUUUCAUGGCCUACAGCAUACAGUAUUUCCUGUCUAUGUCUCAAUCCAUUAUCGCUGUUUUUGAAAACUAAUACCUGACAAUUUGGGCUCUUAGGAGAGGUGCAAUGUUUGCAGCCUCGAUAUGAAAAUGCGCACUUUGUUACACCGUUCUCACUUGAAAAUGUGCUGGUUUUCUGAUCCCACUGAAAAUGCGCUGUCUUUCUUCUGUACUAUUUUUCUUAUUUCUUUUUGGCAGAACACACUAUAGCGGGUGUCUUAGUUCGCGGUGAAGAGGCGCAAGGAGAAAUUCGCAUGGUUUAGUGCACAAGGGUUACUGGCUAACCAGUUGACACAUAAAUGACUGUCUACGGGUGAUGGAGCAAUCUUUCACAAGAACCUAAGCGCAGACUGAACGAGCAAAUUUGAAAAAGAAAAGGAGAUGAGGAGAUACUGCCUUUCCAUUUUGUUGUGCUUUUUAUGCGCGCUUCGUCUUCGUUUAUCGAUCCUGUGUUCUAGAUGUCCCCCUAGCACUGACCUGUCAGAAACGUGGAAAAAAGAUAGAAGUAUUUUCUGUUGAAUGCUUGCAAUGCAAUGCACCCCCUCCGACCGUAAAGACUGUUCGAAGAUAGUAGCAAUGCUAAAAGUUUAUAGUACCCUAAUAAAUCUUUUUAAUCGGAUGUAUUACUGAGUUGAAUUAAUUAUGCAUGCACGCUUGCUCGGGCAUCGAUGGUGGGAGUAAAUGAUCAAUCCGUUAACUGGGUCAGAAGGUAUUAUGAUGGCCUUUGUUGGACUGUAUGUUUGUUGGAUUGUCUGAAAGUUAUAUAGACACUGUUUGUGGGAUAAGUUUUGAAGGUUAAGAGCAACUCUAAAAGUAUGCUAAAAAUUUCUUCCCCAAAACGAGGUAUUGGAGGUUAUGCUAAAAUAUUUCUCCUUCAAAAAUAUAUCAACCCAUAGCAGAAUGCUAAAAGCUAGUCAUUCUGCUAAAAGUUAGUCCCCCAAUAUUUCAAAUCAAGCAACGUCAUCGUAUUGGAUCCAUUUUAAAAUCCAUUUUUUUUGCUAAGCAGCAUUGGAACCUCACGCACCAUCGCCAGGCUUUUUAUUUCCUCACGCACCAUCACGCCGCCAGAACCAAGGCCACCCACGCCAUCGUCACGAUCACGCCGGCGACAGAUUUUUUAUUUCCCUGUAAAAAAUAAUGCACAAGUAACUCCACAUGCACAACCUCAAUAUUGCUAUGAUAUAUCUGAGUUGCAUGUGGGGAUCCAUAUAUAAGACCAUAACAAUCAUGAAUCAGGAUGAACAUUUUUAAAUUCCAUAACAAUCAAAUGCAGUCUUGCACAUAGCAAUACCCUCAUUAUCGUAUUUAAAGUACUCCAUACAUCAGUCUUGCACAUAAUAGAUCACACACUUAUUCGUAGUGCUAGCAACAAUACCAUGGUAACUUGACUCUGCAACUAUCAAAGGCUGCAAGCAGCAUCUGUUAUUCAAACUAGGACUUAAAGACUAUAUAGAGACAAACCAUAAGUAGAUACUAUUGACAAGUUGAACCAUAUCACUUCUAAGUAGAAGCUGGAUACAUGGUUGUGCUCUUCUGGAGUGCCCAAGCCCUGUGCUUUAGCCUGAUGAAGUCCGAAGCUUUUGUAUCCACAUCAUCUUUCAUCCUGUGGCCAUGCCCCAACUUGUCACUGGUGCCUGGUGCUGCCCCAUCCUUGAUAGCAUUGGACGUGGGACGGGGGGAGUACUGUAACAACAAGUUGACCGCAGAAAUCUUGAGCUCGGUACUUGUGACAUCUUCGUCCACUGCGCCCCCUGCCGCCCCCUGCCGCCGGGUUUGGGUACACGGCGCACGCCAUCUACCUCGCCGAUGCAAUUUUGUAGCGAGUUUGUAAAUUGUAAACCCCGGAUCACAUCGUUUUGCACGCAACCUUUCCCGAUUCGAGGUCACCACCUGCGCUGCUCCCCGUCGACUGCCUCGAUGUAUAGGAACUGCCAAGUUUUGGCGAGAGGCCAUUUGUUUAGGACCGCGGCCAUCGCGACCCGCGACCCGGAUCGCCUUGGUUUUCGCCACGGCCAUUUCCCCGAUUCCACCGACGGAGGCACUCACCUCACCCUAGGCGGAUAGUGGGCACGCCGUUGUAUUGCUAAUUUGCUACUAGCGCCCAUGGAAGCCAUGGCACGCAAUCUAGUGGCAAUAUGCGUGCGUGGUUGACCAAAUUAACUUCAUCCACUCCAAUCCAUGCGUGCAUGCGGCCAAUCGCCUGUGCUCUGAUGCUAUAAAAGGAGGUAGGACAACGACGUCGAUCAACUCACAGCAACCCACUACUAAGGCCUUCAUCAUGUCUCUGCACUCCAGCAGCUCACCUGUGCUCCCGCUGCUCGUGCUCUCGCUGCUGCUGCUGUCGCCUCCGGGGACACUAGCCGGCGAUGCCCACCCGCCGUCCAAGCCCGUAGUGACCGCCAUCACCAAGGACGACUCCACCGGGCUCUACACCAUCCCCGUCAAGAACGGCGCGCCGCUCGUCCUCGACCUCGCCGGCCCGCUGGUCUGGUCCCCGUGCCAGUCCCCGCACCGCACGGUCCCGUGCAAGUCCAGCGUCUGCACCGUCGCCAACAGGAACCGCCCGGCUAGCUGCGCGUCGUCCGCCAACGGCGGCCAGCCGGGCUCCGCCGACCCCAACUGCGCCUGCACCGCGUACGCGUACAACCCGGCGAGCGGCCAGUGCGCCGGCGGUGACCUCUUCUCCGUGCCGCUCUCCGCCAACGCCACGGACGGCAACAACCCGCUGUUCCCCGUGACCUUCUCCGCCUACUCGGCCUGCGCGCCCGACGGGCUCCUCGAGUCGCUCCCCUCGGGCGCCGCCGGCGUCGCGGGCCUGUCGAGGCAGCCGGUGUCGCUGCCGUCCCAGGUCGCGUCCAGGCUGAAGGUGGCCAAGGAGUUCGCGCUGUGCCUCCCCGGCAGCGGCCAGACCGGUGCUGCCAUCUUCGGCGGCGGCGCGUUCGUGAUCCAGGCGGCUCCACAACCCAUUGAUUUCGCCGGAGAGAUCCGCCAGAACCCCCUCCCCCUCCUCAAGAACCCCAAGAACGGCGCCUACUACUUCGGCGUCCGCGGCAUCGCCGUCAACCAGGAGCACCUGAACCUGCCGGCCGGCGCCUUCGACCUCGACCGCCGCCAGGGCACGGGCGGCGUCGUGUUCAGCACCGCGACGCGGUUCACCACGCUGCGCUCCGACAUCUACAGCGCGGUGAUGAACGCGUUCGACGCGGUCACGCGCGGCAUCCCGCGCCGGAAGCCCUUCCCGCCCUUCCAGCUGUGCUACGACGUGUCCGGGGUCCCCACGACCCGGGUCGGCCCCGCCGUGCCGAACAUCGACCUGAUGCUCGACGGCGGCCGGAACUGGACGCUUCCCGGCGACAGCUUGCUGGUGCAGUUCGGCGGCGGGACAGCGUGCUUCGCGUUCGAUAGCAUGGGGAACGAGCAGUCGGCGGCGUUUAACUCGCCGGCGGUCAUCUUCGGGGCCCACCAGAUGGAGAACAACCUGCUGCUGUUCGACCUGGAGAAGGGCACGUUCGGCUCCAGUGGGCUGCUCUUGGGAAGGAGCACCACCUGCGGCAACUUCAACUUCGCCGUGGGGAGCUCGUAGAAGUGUCAGCAGAGUAGCAGGAAGGAUUCAUCCUAUUUCCAAUUUUCUCUGUUUCGUACGAGUCCAGCUAGUUUCUUUUUGUUUCUCUGUUUCCAUGACCUCGUUUCAGUACCUGAAAAAAAAGAAACAGGGGAAUUUGCAUCCAAUAUACAAACAUUAAAGACGCACUUUUCACCUAUACAAUAUUAACAUCAGACUACAAUUCAUUUAUACAUAAUAAAACAAAUAUUUUACUACUCCCUUCCAAAUUGCAAGUUACUUUGAGAUUAAUAGAUUUUGUCAUAUACCUAAGAUAUACACUAUCUCUAUAUACGUUGCAAAACUAUAUAUAUUUACAAAUACUAAAAUAAUUCGAAAUGUAGGAAGUAUAAUUUAUUAGAAAAAAAAUGGAUCUAUACCAUUGAAAGAUUCAAACUUUAGAAAAAUAUCAUAAAAGAUUGAACUUUAGAAAUUUGCCAUCGAAAUGUUGCUCUAUUAUUUCUUUCUACUCAUUCAUGUUAUCUACCCCUCCAUUACGAAUUGUAAGGAGUUUUAGCUUUUCUAAACAUGAAGCUUUUACUGUGUACAUAGGAAUUCAAAAAACCCCUCGUAAUUAGAUGUGAACUCUUGAUUAAAAAAAACAAACGAAUUCACCCAGCGAGCCUGCCCGGCCGAACGCACACACGCACCCCAGGCCCAAACACACGGAUCCAAGGCUGCAGUCCAUCGCCAUCCCUGUUCCUCCGAGAACGGCGGGCGCUCGAAGUGGCUCGCGAAGCUGCGCCGCCCCCCGACGAAGUUGACCAUCGCGAGCGCCCCAACUCAGCUGAGGCGAGCACGACCCGGUCCGACGGGUGCACGGGGAGCCUCUCGGCGCGGGAACCGCGCGGAGCGUGGCGAGGAGUGCGAGUCCGUCGGCAUCGUAGUGGUGGAGCACACUCCGUCGUCGCAGUCGGCGAGGAGGUUCCGUCGUAGUGCCCAGAUGAACCGCUCGUAGGAGCCGGUGACAAGGUGAGUUCGUGAGGUUUUUGUUUAUCUCGGUGUCAUUACGAGGAAAUUUGCCAAAAAAGAAACUUAUUGAUUUCUGCAAAGAUAAGUGUAUUCAGUUGGCGGCUGCCAUCGAGAUGCAGGCCACGGCCCACAAGCAAAUAACCAGGCACCACACUAGCUGCCUCUGCGAUGCAAUUUUGUAAGCCAGAUCACAUCUUUUGCACGUAACCUUUUCUUGAUUCGAGGCCACCACGUGCAAUCUCUCGACUGCCGCGGUGCACGUAACAAACCACACGCCUCCAGCAUUAUAGAUGGCCAGACCACUGGGUGGCCCGUAGCACAGCCCAAAAAAGUCCAGCACUAGCCCGGCACGACCCGUAAUGGAUAGUGCCCAGGCCGACUCGGCAUGAUACGUCGGGCCAUGCUUGGGCUGCCUCCCCGGCACGCUGGACUAGCACGAGCCCGGCACGGAUUUUGGGUCAACCCGAUACCCUGCGACCCUCCUUCCAACCAUUGGAUCAAGCGGGACGCUCCCCCUCCCCCUCCUGAUCGUUGGAUCGGAACGUUGGGGAGGGUAGUAUAUAACCCCAGGGUCGGCCGCGUCCCCCAGCUAGAAACCCUAACGGUUCAUUUUUUCCUUUGUUCGGCCGACGCUCUCGCCCCUUCACGACUCUCUGGCUCUCUCGCCCUCUCGUCUCCUCCCUCUCCGGCGACCGGAAGUCGGCGUUGGCCGCCGCCCUAGCCAGAAACCCUAGCCUCCUUGCUCCCCCGCCCACUCCUCCCUCGACUCCCAUCACUCUUCGCCUCUCCGCCUCUCUCUCUCCUCCUCUAACCUCUCGCACCUCUCUAGACUAGAUGACUAGAUCCACUCUCUGGCCGCUCCCGUCAUCUCCUUGCUAGAUCCGUUGGUCGUCGACCUCGCCGGUCGCUCUGGUGGUCCAGAACCGUCGGUAAGAUCUCCUCCCCUCAUCGGUCACUCUAGUGCUCUGGAACUGUCGGUAAGAUCUCCUCCCCUCAUCGGUUGCUCUGGUGCUCCAGAUACGAAACCGCCAGUCUCGAAGCCGUUGAGGGACUAGAGGUUCGGUGAUUUGCUAGUUAGCCAUCGAUCUUGUUCUAGCCUAAUUGUCUUCUUCCCCCAUCCCCCACCUACUCCUCUCUCCUGUCGCCACCUCUCUCUCAUCCUCUUGCUCCUCCCUAGCUCUAGUGCUCCGGAUCCGUUGUUCGUCGACCUCGUCGGUCGCUCUGGUGCUCCGGAUUUGCUGGUAAGCCAUCGAUCCCUCGCUCCUCCUUGGCUUUGGUGCUCUACUUGAUUUCUUCUUUUCUUUGACGUCUUGUCAUCUCUGUUUACAGGGCAGUCUGUUGAGGGACUAGAGCACCGACGAUGGACGACGACGACGAGUUCCAGGGCACACCAUCAACGAUGAGCUUUGGAUGAUGGGCCAGCGUCCAGAUGACGAGAGUGACAUAGGGACGGGGCGGGAAGAGCUCUUCGGUGGCAGCGAUGCCGAACCAAUAGACGUCGCUGAUGGCGGUGACGACGGUGCUGGUGAAGCAGCACCUAAUGCUGCUGAUCCAGACAUGGUGAGUAGCGGCACUAAGAGGAGCCGUUCCACCACCUCUGAAUGCUGGAAGGACUUCGAAAAGAUAUUCAAGGACAUCAAUGGUAAGAAGGUAAGGGUCUCUACUAAGGCAUUCAUUAUGGCACUUUAUACGCUGCUCAAUCUUCUAUUGGCACUAGCCAUCUAAACCGGCAUGUUGAGAAAUGCCCAACGAGGAAGUCAAAGCUUCGUGUUUUCCAACCUUUGAUCCAAUUCAAUAUGGACGGAAGUGUCCGUCACUAGGAUUACAGUUCUGAGGUAGCUCGUACUCAGCUUUGUUGAAUGAUUGCUAGACUUGAUUUUUCUCUUAGUUUUGGUGAAUCUGCUGCAUUUGAAGAGUACUUUAAGUUUGCUCAUAAUCCUAGAUUCUCUACUGUUUUUAGAUAAACGACCACUAGAGAUUUCAGCAAGUACUUUAAUGAUUACCGUGCUAAGUUUAUUGAAUCAUUAACUAGUAUUUCAUCUGUGUCUAUCACUUCUGAUAUCUGGUCUAGUAAUAUUAAGGAAGAUUACCUUUCUCUACUGUUUCUAGAUAAACGACCACUAGAGAUUUCAGCAAGUACUUUAAUGAUUACCGUGCUAAGCUUAUUGAAUCAUUAACUAGUAUUUCAUCGUUGUCUAUCGCUUCUGAUAUCUGGUCUGGUAAUAUUAAGGAAGAUUAUCUUAGUAUGGUUGCUUAUUAUGUUAAUGUUGAAUGGCAAUUAGAGAAGAGGAUAAUUGAUUUUAGGCUCAUUGAUGAAUCUCAUAUUGGCCAGAACAUUGUUGAUCGUGUGACUUCUAUGCUUGAGGAGUAUGAUUUGAUUUCAAAGAUAUUUUCUGUUACUUUGGAUAAUGCCUGUGCUAAUGCCACGUACUAAUGCCGCAGCACCCCACCCGUGCUCCCGCUGCUCGUGCUCUCGCUGCUGUUCCUGCUGUCGCCUCCGGGCGCACUCGCCGGCGAUGGCAAGCCCAUCGUGACCCCCAUAUCGAAGGGCGCCUCGCUCUACACCGUCCCCGUCAAGAACGGCGCGCCGCUCGUCCUCGACCUCGCCGGCUCGCUGGUCUGGUCGCGGUGCCCGCCGCCGCAGGGCAGGGCCCCGUGCAAGUCCAGCGUGUGCGCGGUCACCGCGAAGUCGCUCUCCGCCAACGCCACGGACGGGAAGAACCCGCUGUACCCGGUGUCCUUCCCCGCGAACGUGGCGUGCGCGUCCGACGGGCUCCUCGCGACGCUCCCACCCGGCGCCGCCGGCGUCGCGGGCCUGUCGAGGACGCCGACGUCGCUGCCGUCCCAGGUCGCGUCAAAGCUGAAGGUGGCCAGGCAGUUCGCGCUCUGCCUCCCAGGCGGCGGCCAGACCGGCGCGGCCAUCUUCGCCGGCGGCCCGUUCCAGCUCCUGGCUUCCCCGCCCGUGGAGCUCGCGGAGGGUCUCCGUCGGAACCCCAUCCCGCUCCUCGACAACCCCAGGAACGGCGCCUACUACUUCCGCGUGCACGGCAUCGCCGUGAACCAGGAGCCGGUGCCCGUACCGGCCGGCGCCUUCGACCUCGACGCCCGGCACCGCACGGGCGGCGUCACGCUCAGCACGGUGACCCCCUACACCACGCUGCACUCCGAAAUCUACCGCGCGCUGCACGACGCGUUCGACGCGGCCACGAGCGGCAUCCCGCGCGCGCCGCCCGUGGCGCCCUUCCAGAUGUGCUACCAGUCGUCCGCGUUAGGCUCCACCCGGCUCGGCCCCGCCGUGGCGAACAUCGACCUGACGCUCGACGGCGGCCGCAUCUGGCAGCUGCCCGGCGCCAAGUCGCUGGUCGGGGUGAACGACCAGACCUUCGCGUUCCUCGAGAUGGGGCCCGCGGCGGCGGUGCCCGAUUCGCCGGCGGUCAUCAUUGGGGGCUACCAGAUGGAGGACCACCUGAUGCUCUUCGAUCUGGAGAAAGGGACGCUCGGGCUCAGUGGACUGCUCCUCGGAAUCCGCACUACCUGUGGCAACUUCAUCUUCACCAUGGGAAGCUCGUAGAAGCGUGUCAACGCAGCAGCAGGAGUCCUUUGUUUUCCUUUUGCUCGAAGAGUUACAGUUACAGGUCAUGCCGUCACCGUUUGCUUUCCACGUUCCUACGAGACUAGACCUUUGUUUCAUUUCGGUGAGUCUCCUACUAGUCGACCUGUAAUGCAAUCGUUUGAUUGUCACGUUAGCAAUGGAAAUAAAAAUUGGUCAAUGAAAUCUUUUUACUUCCCUGUAUACUUCUUUUGUGGUAUGUCCUAUUAAAAGUGAUCUUUUCGUGCUAGCCACCAUUGACUUUUGAGUAUGACGUACGAUCAUUUAUAUAUGUUGUCAAAAAAUUUAGUGUGAACAUGCAAAAAAUAUGAAUCGUAUUUAAAGUACAUCAAAUAAAACAAGCCAAAAAAUAUAUUAUUUGCAUAAAUUUUUAAUAAGACGAACCCUUGAGGGGAUGGAAAAUUACAAGCAAGCUCUUUUGGGAUCCUUUCAGCCAACUUUGUCAUUAAUUAGAACAGCAGAACUUGAAGUUUGAAACUGAAUCCCAAUGGCGGAACGUGUCAGCAAUGUUGAUGUACACGACUUGUAACAUUUGGAAUUUUUGAGAGGACAUCGACAACAUCAUGGAGAUCGGCUUGAGGAAGACAACCAUGAGAGGGCUCUUAGAGCCGCAUUUUUCUUAAGAUUAGUCAUUACUUUGUUAGAGAACCGAUUUAUGUAAUAUCGACUAUGUAAGAACUUUCUUUCUUCUCCUGCUUAUAUAAUUUGGCAGUGCUCCUGCUGCCUUUGGUUAAAGAAAACGGAUGAAGUUUUGUCAAAGUUUUGAAACAGCUCCAAGAGAAGUCCAUCCCAUCAAACAAAACGAUGCAUUUCUUCUUCCUCUCCCUUCUUCCUUCUUUCCUCCGGGGGGCUCAGGCCCUCCAUUGGCCCGCAUGGAGUUAAGGUAGACAUAGCUUUAACUUGGGAGUCACUGGAGUUUAUGCUAGCGAAAGCACCUGCAUCAGAAAUGCUAGGGAGGAGGAGCAAAAUUCAAUGUGAUACCUUGCUAUUUGGUUACUGUAGAGAGAGAGGUGCAUAGGUAUUCAUAGUUAUUCACGUGAAUACUCAUAAUUUUGGACCAAGUUUUUACUAUAUACAUAGUUUCAAUGUUGUUCAUAUAUGUAUGAAGGCCCAGCCGUCACUAUCCCACCCGAGGAAUCUUGUUUUUUUUUACAAUGCAUACUAAAAUGAAAAUCUUGCCCACGUCGUAAUGGGGAAUGAAUAGUCAUAUACUUUUAGCUAUGAAAAUCCCGGGACUACGCUACUACCUAUUCCCUAUGACAAAUAAUGUUUGUCUAAAUUUAUAACGUCUGUCAAAUCAAGGACGCAACAUAUAAAAAUAUAUUCAUACUAGAUAUAAUGAUGCUAAUUUGAUGUUAUAAAUACUAUUGAUUUUUAUAACUAGUCCAUCAACCCAUGCUCCAACAUGAGCUAAUGUUUUUAGAAGCUAUUGUAUUUAAAAAUUAUUUAGAAAUUAAACUCCUAGCUAAUAAUCAAAAUUAUUUACCUACCGCUCUCUUAUUUUUCAAUACUUCAACAUAAUACUUAUAUAGAUAUAUACCUAUCUUUAUCCAGUUAUGAUUGAUUUUUAAUUAAUAAUUACUCUAUGCACAUUUUCAUCCAUAUUCGUACUUUUUCCAUUUUGUAUCACAUGUUCAAUCCUCAUACAUUAUGUUUAGCAUACAAAUCAAUAUUUUUCAUCGAUUCCUCACAUACAAUAAUAAAUGGUCUAAAUAGUGGCACUCACCAUAUGUAUAUACUUUAAAUUAGUAUUUUUAUAGUAACAAUGACAUAAAUAGGUAAUUUAGAAUCAUAUAUUAGUUUACUUUUUGUAUGAUGCACAUGAAGAUAAUUACCAUCACAAUGGUAUUCUCUAGAUGGAACUCACAAUUGUAUUCUGAGCCUGUCAUCAAUUACUUGCUAUCCGAGAUGCCCGAUGAUUUUUCUCCGCGCGUGAGGAACUGCAGGAUUGCCACGAUCGAAGAUCGAAGAUGGUCGGCGUUAGUUUAUCUCCGUGUGUGAGAGUCGGAGAUGGCCGGCGUUAGUUUAUCUCCGUGCGUGAGAGGCAGCUGUGUGAUUAUCCUGGUUUUAUCUAUUUCUAAUUUAUUUCUAAAUCAAUGGCUGUGAUUUUUUUAAAACUCCUACCUCGUAAUGGGACUAUUGCUUUUUAUAAUGUUAGUGGUGGGAAAUUUUGAUGCAAAUUUAGGGAGUUAUUUUAAUUUUUUUAUAAUGGUAUAAGUGAGUAAUUUAGAUGAAGAUUAGAGGUUACUUUAGUUAAUUUAUAUAAUGGCAGAGGUGGGUAAUUUAGAUAUGAAUCUAGAGGUUACUUUAUGCUAUUUUCAUAAUAGCAGAGGUGGAUAAUUUUUUUAGAAAACAUAAUAGAUCCAAUGGCUAUUAUGAUUUUAAUCUAUCGAAUUGAUGACUAGAUGUUUUAUUUUUUUGAGAGAAUUUUUAGGAUUUCUCUAUGUUUCUAGAGUGUCCACCUAGGAUCCUAGGUGGCUUCAUGUGGAGGCUUCAAAAGGAGCCUCCUGUUUACUUUAAGUUAUUUUUAAUAACGACAUACAUGGGUAAUAUAGAUAAAAUUUUAGAAUGACAUUUUAAGUUAUGCUUUAUAAUGAUGUGUAUUAGUAAAUUGGAUGAAGAUUAUGAUGUUAUUUUAGAUUAUUUUUUAUAAUAGCUAAGCUCGGUAAUUUAGAUAUAGGGUUAGAGCUCAUUUUUGAAUAUUUUCACGGUGGGUAACUUUUUAGAAAAUAUAAUAGAUCAAUGGCUAUGAUUAUUAGAGUUUACAGGAUUGGUGUUUGAUGUUUUUAAAUUUUAUGAGAAUUUAUCUCUUUUUUCUAGCUUGUCUCGUGGGAACUAAUGCGGAGUCUCCAAUGGAAAAAAAGAGACUACAUUGCUACAAAACUAUUACCAUAAGCUACCUCUCGUUUGUUAAAUAUUCGAACACAAUACUUAUGUAGAUACAUACUUAAUAUCUUCAUCCAAUUAUGAUAGAUUUUAGUUAGUAAUUACUCUAUAAUAUUUUCAACCACAUUUAUAAUCUUUAACUUUUCACUUUGCAUCACAGGUAUACACUUGAAAUUUGUUUAAUGAACUCUAAGUUUGAGAUACAAUUUUAGCAUAGAAAUCUAUAUUCUCAUCACUUUAUAUUCUUAUAGAUGGUAACACAUAUCAUGCGUAUAGACCUUAAUUGUUAUAUCGUAUACCAAUAGUAAAAGAUAUAUAGUAAAAGAUAUAGACGAUUUAGAAUCAUAUAUUGUUGUAUAUUUUUAAUUAAGGUUAUUUGAUUUAAAUGUAGGGUUACCUCAUGUUAUUUUUAAUAAUGGCAUGUGUGGGUAAUAUAGAUGCUAAUUUAAGGGGUUACUUUAAGUUUUAAGUUUUUUAAGUAAUAAUGGUAGGCAAUUCAAUUGCAAAUUAGAGGGUUAUUUUAAAUAUUGUUUAUAAUGGUAUAAGUGGGUAAUUUGGAUUGCUUUAGUUUAUUUUAUAUAAUGGUAGAUGUGGAUAAUUUAUAUAUAGAUUUAGGGGAUUACUUUAGGCUAUUUUCAUAAUGGCAUAGGUCGGUAAUUUUUUAGAAAACAUAAUAGAUCCAAUGACUAUGAUGAUUUGAAUCUAUUGAUUGAUGGUCGGAUGUUUUGCUUUUUUUUUUGAGAAUUUUCAGGAUUUCUCUCUUUUCGUAGAGUGUCCACCUAGAAAUCCUAGGUGACUUCACCUGGAAGUUUCGAAAGGAGCCUUCAAUUAGUAAUAGUAAGAUUGCGAGACUGAUCAACCGACACGUCAAACCAGCCUCCAUCGAGAUUAUUAUGGGCCUGUUUAGCUUCUACGUGCUAAAGUUUAGCACCUGUCACAUCAUCGGAUGUUUGGAUAGGAGUAUUAAAUAUAAGCUAAUUACAAAACUAAUUGCACAGAUGGAGUCUAAUUCGCGCUAAUUAAUCCAUCAUUAGUAAAUGGGUUCGCUUGACGAAUCUAUUAAGCCUCAUUAAUCUAUGAUUUGACAAUAUGGUGCUACAAUAACCAUUUGCUAAUGAUGGAUUAAUUAGUUUUAAUAGAUCGUCUCGCGAAUUAGCCUAGGGGUUCUACAAUUAAUUUUAUAAUUAGCUCAUAUUUAGUCCUUAUAAUUAGCAUCCGAACAUCCGAUAUGAUAUGGUUAAAGUUUAGCAACUAGUAUCAAACACCCUAUAUUAGAGAACACGGUUUCAACCAUGACAAUCUCCCUCUGCGGAGGAAUCCGGCUGAUCUUGAACCAAUCUGCAUGCGGUGGUCUCGUACUCGAAAAUCAUCUCAAGGUUCUUCGCAAGCCUGUCCUUGUGUUGAAGUUGAAGCUCUUGACACUCCCUGCUCAUAUAUCAAUCUCAGCGACACCUGGAUGAAGAUGAGAAUCGACGCCCCUGUUCGACGAAUACGAGCGAGCAGCGGCGGCAUCGAGCGUGCGGCUGCCGAUUUGGGCCGGCAAGGUAGCGAAUGAAGACAAGCGGCGGCGGACUCAAGCGACCGUCGAGCAAAUCAAGCGGAACGCCGGAGUAUCCACGCGCUGCGCUGGAGGGGGGAUAUGUUGCCUCGCUACUCCAGGGACCCGCUUGCUGGAGUGUUUUUUUUCUUCCUUUUGCCAUCGGUUCCUAAUUUUUGAGUAGAGGUUGAUCAGCAGGGGUCUUGCUGGAGCUGCUCUCAGAAGCUCUAAUGUACACUCAUAAAAUUAAUAUUAUAGAAAACCAUGAACACUCAUUUCUUUCUGAACAUGGACAAUAUGAUCCGUGCUGAUAGAAGGCAAGCUAAGAAUUGACAAAUACACACAACUCCAAUGAUUUACACUUUAGGGACGACGUUUCAGUUGCAGCACCGUACCCAAACGUACAAUACACACAGCUCCAAUAUGCUUUAGGGCCGGUCACUGCUAGCUCCAGAAAUUCUUACAGCAACAGUUGUUGUAACAGUAUUUAUUGAUUAAGAAACUCUAGUAUAUUCUUUUUAGUUUAGAUCACUUUAUAGUAUAGUAUCUUUAUAUAUAAACUCUAAAUCCUAUAUGCGUCUCCGAGCUGCAGGUGUGAGGAAUCAAUGUUGAGUGUAUGGCCGGCAUCCAGAAAUUCCCAGUGUGACUCCUCAUGCAUGCUCGAGCCACCAAAUAUCUAGCCCAUUGCAAAUGCAUGGAGAUGCCGGUUACAUUUCAACGACAUCGACCUCGGUGAUAUCCACGCUGGAGACGCCUUCGGGGCAGAGGAUUCCCGUCACUCUGGCCAUUUUGUGCUGUGGCAUCUGACUUAUCUUCAGCCGGUCCUCGUCGCUGAGUUCCCAGUCGAAGAUCUCGGUGUUCUCCUUGAGCCUCUCCUGUUUCCAGCUCUUCACCACCAUGCUUGCGCCUUGCUCGUAGAUCCAUCUCAGCGAAAUCUGAGGGGGAGAAUGUAUGCAUGCGGAUGAGAUGUCAGCCACGCUGCUAGCAUGAUGCUAACAAUGAUCCGAUCCAGUACUGUUAAUACACGAGUAAUUAAAUGGAUCACUAAACUGGGAUUACGAAGAAAUGCAGUCGAUACCUGAGCCACCGACUUCCCUCUAGCCUUCGCAAUCCCAUCUAGAACCUUAGACGGUAGUACUUUGGAUCUAAAUUGGCCUCCCAAGGGAGAAUAAGCAGUCACAUGAAUACCCUUAUCUUUGCAGAACUCAAUUAGUUUCCGCUGUUGCCAAGAUGGAUUUAAUUCGACCUGCAAAGUGUAGUCUCAUGCAUCAGUACCUCUGAUAUUGUGACAUGUGAGACAGUGUGGCUUGAGACUCGAGAACAGAGCCGACCGUGCAUUAGCACGUUUUUCAUUAAGAGGAGGAGAAAAGUUACAACCUAAGGAAAUGAUGAAACGGGCCGAGAUCUAGAGAAAAGAAAAGAAACACACACACACACAUACAUGUGCAGACAAUACAUUGCAAGGGCUGUGCGACCAAGGGGGAGAGCGCCGAAACUUCUGUGCAAGCGGCAGACUUGAGAACAGAGCCACAUACAAAUUAAGCAAAUAAGUUUUCAUCAAAUUGGCUCAAGCUCUACUGCUGCUAUAGUACAUAGUAGCAUUUUUGUUUUUAUUUUUGUAUGAAGUGUAAACAUAGUAAGAAAUAUUUUAACACAGUAAGAAAUGCUAGCACUAAAAAUAAGCGGAAGUUGUCUAGGAGUUGUAUAACAACAAAUAUUUUAACACAGUAAGAAAUGCUAACUAGUGUUUUGAACUAAACAGGUACGAUAUUUCUCGGUCGUCGUAUCAACAGUGAAAAAGAGAACGGCCAGGUGUGACUAUUCAUCAGUUGAUCAGCACGAACCUGAUUCACUGCUGGGGGGACAUUUGCGGUUGCAAGCAGCUCCUUGAGCUUCCUUGUCGUGAAAUUGCUAACGCCGAUCAUCUUAGCAAGGCCCAGGCGAUGGCAUUCCUCCAUUGCCUGCCAGACGCCGCCCAGGUCCAUCGGCACCAUGUCCUCCCUCUUCAUUGGGAAGUGGGGCUUGCUUGGUUUUACAGCCAUGGGCCAAUGGACCAGGUACAAAUCCACAUAUUCCAUUUGAAGGUUCCUACAGAUCGAUGAAGAGAUAAAUAAAGGAACCUUCCCUGAGCUUGACAUCAAAGCACAGCCUAUUUUUUGUGCAAUUGGUACUCCCAGCCGCCGCAGAAUCGAUUAGCAAUUUAGCAUUCUAAAGGAGAAGCGAACUCAAUUUUGACGAAAGCUUACUGCAAACUCUCCCUGAGGGAAGGGAGCACGAGCUCCGGGUGGCACUGCGUGCACCACACCUUGGUCGUCACGAACACCUCCUCCCUGGACGCCACGACACCGCGGCGCGCCGCCUCGGCCACGGCCUCGCCGACGGCCCGCUCGGAGCGGUAGAGCGAAGCGGUGUCGAGGUGGCGGUAGCCGAGCUCCAGCGCGGCGAGGACGGCGGCCCUGACAUCUUCCUCCACGAGCGGGAACGAUGCCGUGCCGAGCCCCACCGCCGGCACCGGCCGCCCGGCAGGGCCCGCUGGAAACUCUGGGAUCUUGGGGGAGCGAGCGCUGGCCAUCCGUGGUGGCGAUGCCAUGGGCGCCGGCGCGCCGCCGCCUGCGCGCUCUCCUUUCUCUGCUUGGUCAGCUGAUUCCACGGCCGUGCCGUCGGGCGAGGAGAGUUGACUGAACCGGGGGCUUCCAACGCAAUUACGAAAAAAAAAAUCCCAAAAGAAAACGAGCCUCAUGACUCGUGAGUCGCGCGAGACGUAUAAAAUAACCAUCGGGCCGGCAGGCAGGUAGUUACACAUUGGUUCCUUCACCGAGCACUGUGUUACCUCACCGAGCAACGAUAAAGAAUGAGCGUAGAGGUUUGGUUUUCUUGUCUGGGCACCUCAAAAUCUGUGUGGACGAGUUUUAGCUUGCUUCCGUGGAAGAGCAAAAUUAGCUCGGGCGAGCUCCUCGUUGCUCGCGAGGCAAGCAGAGAUUGAGAGAACAAAGGUGCCAGUUUCAAUCUGGCUGACAUGCGGUCGAACAGAUCGAGCCAACGAUUUGGGCAUCAUUCGGUGUAAGUUAGACAGCAUCACUCGGUUUUGUUUGGCAGAAUGCUGGCGAGUACGAUAAAUGGGCCACAAACGCGUGCGUUCAAGAAACAAAGCCCAAUUGACUACUCUCUCUAUCAAUAACUAUAAUUAAGUCCGGUAAAUCAAACUAUUUUAAAUUUGAUCAGAUGUCCCUUUUGAAACUUCCAGGUGAAGCCACCUAGAAUUCCUAGGUGGACACUCUAGAAAAAGAGAGAAAUCCUAGAAAUUCUUAAAAAAAGCAAAACAUCCGACCAUCAAUCGAUAGAUUCAAAUCAUCAUACCAUUGGAUCUAUUAUAUUUUUUUAAAAAAUUAUCCACCUAUACUAUUAUGAAAAUAGCCUAAAGUAACCUCCUAAAUCUAUAUAUAAAUUACCCACCUCUGCCAUUAUAUAAAAUAAACUAAAGUAACCUCUAAUCUUCAUCCAAAUUACCCACUUAUACCAUUAUAAAUAAUAUUUAAAAUACCCCCCUAAUUUGCAAUUGAAUUGCCUAAAAAACUUAAAGUAACCCCUUAAAUUAGUAUCUAUAUUACCCACACAUGCUAUUAUUAAAAAUAACAUGAGGUAAUCCUACAUUUAAAUCAAAUAACCUUAAUUAAAAAUAUACAACAUUAUAUGAUUCUAAAUCAUCUAUAUCUUCCACUAUUGGUAUACGAUAUAACAAUUAAGGUCUAUACGCAUAAUGUGUGUCACCAUUUAUAAGGAUAUAAAGUGAUGAGAAUAUAGAUUUCUAUGCUUAAAUUGUGUCUCAAACUUAGGGUUCAUUAAACAAAUUCAAGCACAUAUCUGUGAUGCAAAGUGAAAAGUUAAAUAUUAUAAAUGUGGUUGAAAAUAUUAUAGAGUAACUAACUAAAAUCUAUCACAAUUGGAUGAAGAUAUUAAGUAUAUAUCUAAAUAAGUAUUGUGUUCAAAUAUUUAACAAACGAGAGGUAGCUUAUGGAAAUAGUUUUGUAGUAAUGUAGUCUCAUUUUUUUUCAUUGGAGACUCCGCAUUAGUUCCCAUGAGACAAGCUAGAAAAAAGAGACAAAUUCUCAUAAAAAUUUAAAACAUCAAACACCAAUCCUGUAAACUCUAAUAAUCAUAGCCAUUGAUCUAUUAUAUUUUCUAAAAAGUUACCCACCAUUGUCAUUGUGAAAAUAUUAAAAAAUGAGCUCUAAACCUAUCUAUAAAUUACCGAGCUCAGCUAUUAUAAAAAAUAAUCUAAAAUAACCCCAUAAUUUUCAUCCAAUUUACUAAUACACAUCAUUAUAAAGAAUAACUUAAAAUGUCAUUCUAAAAUUUAAUCUAUAUUACCCAUGUGUGUCGUUAUUAAAAAUAACCUAAAGUGAACAGGAGCCUUCUUUUGAAGCCUCCACACGAAGCCACCUAGGAUCCUAGGUGGACACUCUAGAAAAAUGGAGAAAUCCUAGAAAUUCUCUCAAAAAAACAAAACAUCUGGCCAUCAAUUCGAUAAAUUAAAAUCAUAAUAGCCAUUGGAUCUAUUAUGUUUUGUAAAAAAUUACCCACCUCUGCCAUUAGAAAAAUAGCAUAAAGUAACCCCUAGAUUCAUAUCUAAAUUACCCACCUCUGCCAUUAUAUAAAUUAACUAAAGUAACCUCUAAUCUUCAUCUAAAUUACUCACCUAUACCAUUAUGAAAAAAUAAAAUAACUCCCUAAAUUUGCAUCAAAAUUGCCCACCACUAACAUUAUAAAAAGCAAUAGUCCAAUUACCCAUAUGAGGUAGGAGUUUUAAAAAAAAUCACACCCAUUGAUUUAAUUAAAAAAAUCAGAAAUGGAUAAAAUCACGAUAAUCACAGAGCUGCCUCUCACGCACGGAGAUAAACUAGCGCCGGCCAUCUCCGAUCGUGGCAAUCCUGCAGUUCCUCGCGCGCGGAGAAAAAUCAUCGGGCAUCUCGGAUAGCAAGUAAUUGAUGACAGGCUUAGCAUAUGCAGUUUCAUGUAGAGAAUAUAAUUGUGAGUUCCAUCUAGAGAAUACCAUUGUGAUGGUACAGAAAUAUCAAAGAGUAAACUAAUAUAUAAUUCUAAAUUAUCUAUUUAUGUCCUUGUUAAUAUAAAAAUACUAAUUUAAAGUAUAUACACAUGAUAAGUGCCACCAUUUAGACUAUUUAUACAUGUAUGUGAGGAAUCGAUGAAAAAUAUUGAUUUGUAUGCUAAACAUAAUGUAUGGAGGAUUGGAGGUGUGAUACAAAAUGGAAAAAGUACGAAUAUGGAUAAAAACGUGCAUAGAGUAAUUAUUAAUUAAAAAUCAAUCAUAACUGGACAAAAUAGGUACAUAUAUAAGUAUUACGUUGAAGUAUUGAAAAAUAAGAGAGUAGUAGAUAAACAAUUUUGAUUAUUAGUUAGGAGUUUAAUUUCUAAAUAAUUUCCAAAUACAAUACCUUCUAAAAACAUUAGCUCGUGUAGGAGUAUGGGUUGAUGGACUAAUGGGAGUACGGGUUGAUCGACGUCCUAAUUAGGGAUAAGUCAGACAAUGAAUUUAUAUUGCGUGGUCAGCUACCGUACGUUCUAGCUCUGCUUACGUACGUUGCGCGAUCGCCAACACAAUGGCGCAAUGCGGCUCUGGAAGCCUGCAUGCGAAACACGAGACUCGGGUGGACUAGCAGCCUGCCGGCUAGCUGCCGCUCUUAAGUUCCGAGGGAAGGCUGGUCAUCGCGGCACGCGAACCUGCUCUGCACCCACACGCAACAAGUGCCACGCGACGCACCAGCGCACCUGCAGGCGUGCGGGCGGAGGCUACACAUGGCCUCGGCGGGCAGGACGGCCACUGCGGCGGCGGUGCCGGAGGAUGUGCCCCUACGUUCCAGCGCCGCGAGGCCGAUGCCGGCCGUCGGAAUGGGCACGGCGUCGCCGACCCCCGUGGCGCACGAGGCCACCAAGGAGGCGGUGCUGGCGGCCAUCGAGGUGGGGUUCCGCCACCUCGACACCGCCUGCAUGUACGGCACGGAGAGGCCGCUCGGCGAGGCCGUGGCGGAGGCGGUGCGGCGCGGGCUCGUCCAGUCCCGGGAGGAGCUGUUCGUCACCUCCAAGCUGUGGUGCACGCAGAACCACCCGGACCUCGUGCUCCCCUCCCUCCGGGAGACCCUCAAGUAAGAUUAUUCCCGGGCCGAUUGAUGUGAAAUUUCUGAAAACUAAUCUUUCCUCGUGCGUGCCGUGGGAGCAGGAACCUGCAGAUGGAGUACCUGGACCUGUACCUGAUCCACUGGCCGGUCUCCAUCAAGCCCAUGCCAAUAACUUUCCCGAACAAGAAGGAGGACGCCGUGCCGUUCGACGUCGAGGGCGUGUGGCGCGCGAUGGAGGAGUGCCAGCGUCUGGGCCUUGCCAAGGCGAUCGGCGUCAGCAACUUCACCACCAGGCACCUCGACAAGCUCCUGGCCGUCGCCACCAUCCCUCCCGCCGUGAACCAGGUGGAGCUGAACCCGGCGUGGCAGCAGCGCACGCUGAGGGCCUACUGCGCCGAGAAGGGCAUCCACGUCGCGGCGUACUCGCCGCUGGGAGGUCAGAACUGGUCCGGAUCCGGGGAAGGCAACGCCGUGCUGGAGUCCGAGGUGCUCGCGGAGAUAGCCAAAGCAAGAGGGAAAACCGUGGCACAGGUACGCGGCUAGUCCAUGUUGACUUCGUUCAUCGUCAUCCCUGAAGUGCGGCGGCGCUCCGAUCCGGUUGUUUGGUCCACGACUCCAUGCUUCGUUUUCACUUGCCUACUCAAUGUUGUCCAGGACCCUAUAAUUUUUUGUUGAGACUGAUAGGGUAACUGCCGCCGCCGCUUGUACAGCGUCAUUGCUAGCUCUGGUCUUUGUUCUAUCCCUUUGUGUUAAAUAUUCUCCUUUGUAACACCACUAUUCCCUCUCAGGUGUCGUUGAGAUGGACACAUGAGCAGGGAGUGACUUGGAUCGUCAAGAGCUACAACAAGGAGAGGCUCGAGGAAAACAUCGACAUCUUCGGCUGGGAGCUGACCGAUGAAGACCGGCACAAGAUCAGCCAGAUCCCGCAGAAGAAGUGUGUCACGGCUACAGCCCUGUUCUCGCCGGAGGGCGAGUUCCCGUCGGUUGGUCUUUCGGACAUGGACAUUGUAGAGGAAUAGGUAUACCGAUGAAGGAAAAUGGCCUGCCUUUGUGUCUCUACAUCUGAAUAAAAAAAGUCCACUGAUGUGUUCAUGCCCUUCACUUCGUCCUACUGAAAUCUGGUGACGCUGACAGUUCAGUAAAGAUUGUAACCGCCGCCAUUUUCGGACGUGCACACAUCUGGGCGUUUGUGUGGCCCAUUUAGGGCGGACAGCCGUUUGUCUAAACUGGGCUAGGCUUCUCGGAGAAUCCAGCCCAAAAUCACAGAGCUCGUGCGUGUGCGUGCUACUCGGACAGUACUGGUCUGGUAGUUUUCUGACUGAAAUUGGGACAGUUUCGUUCACUUUUGUCCUCCUUUGUUUAAAAUCAUAAACUUUCAUAGAGAACAGGAGGCCUCACAUUCAAAUUACUGCUAACCCAUGUCAAUUCUCAAACAAGGCUUGUGGAGCGUAGGCUCCACAUGGACCACAUACAUUCACAACCAUCCUCACAUUCAGACCACAGGUCAACAACUCAACAAACAAGUUAGUUCCGUUCCAGAAUGCACUUAUCAAACCAAAUGGUAACAACUAGCCAAGCACACACCAGAGUUUUCUUAAGUCUGCGGCAACACUGCAUCUUACAUCAGACUAAACAUUUCAAUGAGCUGACUGCAUAGAAAAAAAAUAUUCUAGCCGGUAAAUUUGAUCACUUCGACUGAAAAGGAAUAGCUAGCCAAGCACAGGUCCAAUGCAGCAUCCACCUUCUGGCUUCUAGUCAGAACUCAGAACCAGCAGCAUGGCACAAAAGCAUCUAGAACGUGCAGCUUAUUCAAAUGCAUCUAGAACAUGCAGCUUAUUCAAAUCCCUGCAAUCAGAUUAAGAGUGAGAAAUCAUGAUUGCCACACUAGCUAAACCAUUAAGCUCAAAGCUGUAUAUGAUUGGGGGGAAAAAGUGAAAGUUGGACAUACAAUCUGUUUGCUUUGGAGCUAUAGGUGUGGUGUGCAACACUAUGGAAACAAAUAUGUGGAUCCUUAAUGCUCGCAUCAUGAUCAUAUAGUUAGGGGAAAGUCCAUACUGCUCAAACUAUCCAAAGAUCAACUCCUACAGUCUCAACUACGAACUGGUUGAGUUAUCCCCUAGUUGUAGCUACGAAGAAAAGGAACAUUGUACUUUGCAUAAAUCACCGAAUCUUGGGAUAUAGAUUAACUGAUUUAGUGCUACUAGCCAACCAUUGAUUGUGCAUGCUUUACAAUAUUGACAGUGGUUGCUAAAAUGAUGGAAAUCAUCCUUUCUCAUAUCACCAACAGGCAAAAGGUAGCAACCAUGACUGUUGUUUAAACCACAUAAAGCGAACCCAGAAAUCAAAAGGUCAUGCAUGCACACUAUAAAAAAAAACAAGUGAAACACUUGCUGUUCUCAUCCAGGAUGGCUAUCUACAUUUUUUUUAUAAGGGAUGGUUCUCUACAUUUAAAAUUAUAACUACGAGUUUACUGAGCUAUGCAGAUAAUUGGAAAGGCAUUACUAUAGUCUAUGUGUCGGUGUUUUAUAUCCGGCAACCUACCGAGGGGUAUCCCGAGGUAGUAGAUUGGUCGGUGGGGGAUCGCCGGAUCUGGAAGUUGAUGGUAAAAGCGAGGACACAAAACACAUAUUUAUACAGGCUCGGGCCACCAAAGUAGCGUAAUACCCUACGUCCUAUUUGGGGUGUUGUAUAUUGCGCCCUGUACUUGCGUGUUGUUUGGUGUUGAGGAUUUGGUCCUCUGUUAUGGUUCUAUGUGAUCUUCGUCUACCGAUCUAGGGACCCAUGCCCUCCUUUAUAUACUUAGGGGGUGGGAUUCCUAGGAGUUCUAGUAAGGUUACAGGGUAUGAGUCUUAGUAGGAUUAUAGGGGAAUCCUAGUAGGAGUCCGUCUUCUUCCUUCCUUGCGGGUAUUGGGGAUUUAUCCCCGACAAGCCCCCAAGCGCUUUAUAGUCGAAUGCAGCAGUCUCCGAGUACUUUUCAGAUCCUCGUCGAGUAGUUUAGUGCUUCUCGAGUACUUUGUCUGGCUGAAUCUUCAAAGUUCUUCAAAGUUGCCAUGAAGCUAUGGUGCACUCAAGCCCUUGAUCAUCUUGAUUUUGUAAUCUUCAUCUUUGCUGACAUGGAGGGCAGCGGAAGUCGCACUCCAUAUGGAGUAUCCUCCGAAUCUUAGGUUGAAUCGAAAAAUCAGGCUGAGGGUCAAUAAAAUCUUGAAUCUUCUUUCAUCUUGAAAAAAUCAACUAUUCGGUGUAGCUUAUCAACCCCGAGCCUUGAAAUGAUUAAAUAAUCAAUCUAAGGGUCUAGAGAGUAGUUUUGCGGUGUCACGCAAGUCAUCAUCUAAGUAGUUUUGUGGCGUCCAACACCGAGCUUUUAGGCCAGGUGAGCUGUAGGAGCCAUGUUGAGUAGUUAUUGGCGCCCAGCCCGAGCCACUAGAGGUAUUCUGAGUAGUAAUUGGCGCUUAGCCUCCAAGUUUGGAAGCUACCUGAGCUAUUGGAGGUACGCUGAGCAUCCUGGAGAGUCGACUCUGAAGCUUGACUUGAAAAAGAGAUGCAUACAUUAUAUAGCAUAUUUGUAGAAUACUGAAACUACUGAAAUUUAUUUAGUGAUAAAUGUAAAUAUUUUGUGUCGUGCUCUUGUUUUGGUCAUAUUUCUCCUAAGUAGUUAGCCUGUUACGUUUAGACUCUCAGUCCCUGUUUAGCCAUUGCCUCUGCGUGUGAGAUCUUUGUCUCGUGUACGCGUAUUGACACUGCUUCUACGCGUUUGAGAUCUCUGUCUCGUGUACAAGUCCUAGCAUUUAGGCAUGACAGAAGAUCCGAGGCUUUCACAUAUUAAGGCGUGUUCUACUCGAGAACAUUAGUGACCAUUAAGAGUAGAUAUUGAAAAUAAGUAGUCAACAUUGCAACAAAAAGACUGCAUGAUUACACAUAGAGAGUUUUCUUUCCUUCGGCGAGGAGAGCGUGUGUUGUUGCACACAUGAUUUGUACCUCCUUAGGGUGUAGCCGUUGUGCGCCUUCAGCACUCAGUGCACUAAAUCCGUGGCCAUAGCGUCCGAAAUUUGAUGUACCAAGUCUGUUGGCGGAGCUUCCAGAACUCAGUACACAAAACUCGUGGCUAUAGCCUCCGUAAUUCGGUGUACCAAGCCCAUUGCUGUCGGUUAACAUGCCCCAGAAAUAAUUAGCAAAGUGUAGCUCUGGAGGGUAAUUUCUAUCGAGAGGUGUACACAAAAAAGUACUCGGCGCAUUGCCCUGCAUGCGGAAAACAAGCCGAAAAAAUUAUUGAAAUAAUUAGAAAAUGUGACUUAGCUUGAUUCAUGGACGAUUGUCGAUGAAGCUGCGGCAGUCAUCGAUGAAAUCGCGAUGGUUGUUGAUGAAGCCGACUAGUCGGAGUCGAUUUUGACUGGUUGUCGAUGGUGUGAAGCCUGCUCCGACUAAUUUUUAGUCAAGAUGAGUAGUUUCGCUGGCGUGUACAACUCUUGUGUGCAUCCCGCCAAGAGCUUGGCACCUUAUGGUACGUAGUUGGUGCACUCGUAGUGGAUUUACACCAAAUUUGACGUCAGUCUGAACUUGCGUGCGAUGCUUGAAUAGGUUGUGAGAUGAUCUUGCUGCUAGGAAAAUACAGAACCGUACUCCGACUUAGCCCUCGAGUAGAAAAAUUGCAUCGGCUAGCUAUUACUGAUCGACUCGGAUGCGGAGUCCAGGAAGUUGAUCUCAUGGUGGCGCGACGAAUCCAGUCAAAGCUCGCGGUAAAGAUAGCGGUGUUGUUACACUGAAUAUAUUAAUCUUAAUAACAGAGGGUCCUUCAAGCUCACCCCGUGAUCUUGACAAUCACCCCUACCUGGCACACCAGAUGUCGGUGUUUUAUACCCGGCAACCUACCCAGGAGUAUCCUGAGGUAGUAAAUUGGUCGGUGGGGAAUCGCCAGACCUGAAACUUGAUGGUAAAAGCGAGGACACAAGACACAAAUUUAUGUAGGUUCGGGCCACCAUAGUAGCGUAAUACCCUACGUCCUAUUUGGAACGUUGUAUAUUGCACCCUGCGCUUGCGUGUUGUUUGAUGUUGAGGAUUUGGUCAUCUGUUAUGGUUCUAUGAGGUCUUCGCCUACCGAUCUAGGAACUCAUGCCCUUCUUUAUAUAUCCGGGGGACGGGAUUACUAGUCGGUUAUAAGGUGAGAGUCAUAGUAGGAUUACAUGGUAUGAGUCAUUACAAGGGAAUUCUAGUAUGAGUCCGUCUUCUUUCUUUCUUGCGGAUACUAGGGAUCUAUUCCUGACACUAUGGAGCAAGGGAUCAAGGCACGGUCAAAUACAAAUUAUAAUGAAACUUAAAUUAGAUUUCAGAAAAUAGUAAUGCACUGUUGAGCAAGACAUAAAGCAAAUAAAGAGUUAUCUAUAACACCACUAAAGACUAUUAAAACAAUUUGUGUCGGUGCAAUUGCAACAAGCUAUCUAUACAUCUUAAUAAACUGGCAGCCAAACACCUUUAAAAUCCCAAAUAGUCGGUUCAUCACAUAGGAGAUCCCAACGCUAGCAAAAAGGAGGCUGCAAGCAAAAACUAGGAGGGCCACCUUACCACUUCAUAUAGUUGGUGAUGCCAAUGAUGGUGGGUAACCGGUAUACGGGGCUGGCAGGGCACGAUCACCUUCACCACCGACAAGCCCCUGUCGGACCUUCUGAAACUGCGAAGUCUUGAAAUCAAAUGACAUACACGAAAAUUGUCCUGAAGAACUAACAUGUUCUCGCCCUCCUUGGAGUAGUAAUGUCCCAUCAGGUGCGGUUGUCGCUUUUUGUAUGACCGGACGCACGCAUGACCCACCGCUUUCAGCCUAAUAAUUACUUAAUUAGGGUAUGAAAAAGCAUGAAAAUGCACCGUGAAUACAAAAGUUAGUGGAGAGAGCGUGUAAAAAAAGACGAAAAUGAUGAUGUGAUUCACGUGCAAAUCUAAAAACUAAAAAAGUCAUAACUCCUAAACCAAACAUCCAAAUUAAAUUAAAUUUAAGUUACACCAUCAUGUUUAUUACGACGAGAUCUUCAAAACAAAACCCCACUUGACUAUGUUUGGAUAAUAUUUAAAAAAAUAUUUUUUAACAUACGGAUUAAUUAGUUCUAACUAAUGCAAACAAAUGCUUGAACAUCACGAACAAAUUACUAUUUCCUACGAACAAAAAAUGGUACGAUGCGAAGAAAAAUAUGGAACAUCACGAACAUUUGAUUGUGUAGGACAGAAAAAAACUGAAUCAUCGUGAAUAAAUAAAUCCAUGUCAUCAAACAACUUAAUCUACAAAACCAAACAAAUAAUUUAGAAUAAAUCAGUCUAAAUAACUAGAAUCACAUGCAAACUAGUUAUUAUUAUAGACGAAUAAUUGAGUUUAUAUGGUGACCAAAUAUUAUACCAUCAUGAACAAAUAUUAUAAUAUCACGAACAAAUUAUUUUUACUGUCAAACAAUUCAGUAUAUAAAGCGAACAAAUAUUUUAACAUUAAGAACAAAUAAAUCUAUAAAUGUGAACAAAAUGCAUAAACACGUGAAUAGAUAAUUUUAUAUAGCGAACAUAUACAUCCACAUUACAAAUAAAUUAUUUUUGUACAAGAAUAAAAAUAAAACUGAAUACAAAAGGAAAAUAUAAAUAUAAAUUAAUAAAUAAUAAAUAUAAGGGUGAAAAAUAAAAACAAAAUAAAUAUAAUUUUGCAUGUCACUUUUGUUUGCAUUAUAUUAUUAUUUGUACAUCUAUUUUAUUUGCAUCAUCAACCUUCCUAUUUGUAAUAGUCAAUGUUGUUCAAUAUUUUAUUCGCUGCUUAUAAUCAUUUGUUCACCAUGUUAUUUUUUUCGCAUGAGAUAAUUACCUGUUCUAUAUUUGUUUGGUGCAAUCAAAAUUAAUAUUGAGUAUUAUAAAAAUAUUUUUUUUAAAUAUUUCAUCGAAACAUAGUCAAGUGGGGUUUUAUCUUGAAGACUCAUCGGUGGAAUCAGAAUUUAAUUUAGAUAUACGGUUUAACAUCUAUAGAUUUUUUAAUUGAAACUUUCUUUGCAUGUGGUGUAAUGUCAUUAAUUUCGUCCUCUAUAGCAUCUAUAGCAUGCUUGCACGGCUUAUCUUCUUUUUCAAGCUGGCGCCCAUGAGACGAAUAAUGCGUGUCCCAUCAGCAUCACCAAUAAUGCGAGGCCGAUGCCCCUAAGACGAAGGCAGGGGAACUUCGUAUUUUAAAACGCACUGGCUGGCAUCCUCACCAUGGCUUUGCCCAUUUGCACAAAAGUGUUGCAAUAGUCCACUUCCGUUCCUUUGAGCAACUAAGAACAUGCCUCGUCUGCUUUCCCCUAACUCAACGAUAGCAAAUUCACUAAACCUGCAGCAAGGCUCAGGCAGAGAAUUGAUGGAGGAGAAUUCCAUAGUGCUCAUGUCGAGUACAAGCAACUUGAAGACUGGUAACAGAUUCGAUAGGCACCAGUAGAAGCAGCCAUAUGCGUAUAGUAGCCGCCAGGUAACAGGCAUCGGUACUGCAUCAGAGCAGGCAUGUUAGGGUCCAGAUCGCACGAGCUGGGAGAUGAUAUGGCUCGCCACUGCCUGCUGGCAGAGGAGAAGACGAACGCGACCAGCUUAGACGCGCACUGGGCUAUCCAGAUCACCCUAAAUGGCUGUGGCUGCCCCGCAGCAGCAGCAGCCGCCGCCUCCUCCGUCGCCGCAGGGAGCGAGUAAGACAUCGGAUCUGCGUUUACUGGGCGCAAGCCUGGAAACGGAGCACCCAGUGGUAAUGGGCUGCUGGACGGCGGCUGCAAGGUCUUCAGGGAUCGGAGGAAGAAGCACGUAGCGCCGGAACAAGGGGUCGCAAACCGCCAGCGUCGUGAAGGCUGCGUCAUUGCCCUCACCGUAGUCGACAAGGAAGCGGCCGCGCGAACGUAUCGGACUACCCAGAAGCCCGGGUUGGGGAGGAACGAGAAUCGGAAGUCGGCGGCCCCGGCGAGCGCGCGGGCGGCUGCCGCCGACGGGUGGGGCGGAUCCACCUGCCGGAAGCUUCCGAAGAAGGUGCGGAAGCCGAGGAGGGAGGGCGGGUGGAGCGCAUGCAGGCGGCGGAGGAAGGAGGGGCUGGUGAUGACGCGGCGGAAGGCGGCGCAGGACGCGCAUGCGCGGCCGAGGUCGGCGAGCGGGAGCAGGAUGAGGAUCGCGCCGAGGAGGUCGUCGGUGAGGUUCAGCACCUCACCUGCUGGCGGCGCCAUAGCGAAUCGCGGUGGCCGGUGGCCGGUGAGGCGACGUGGGAAUCGGGAGUGAGGUUCUGGCGAGGGGGAUCGGCCAACUCGGCCCUCCUCGACAGCACCCGUCAAACUCCUCUCGCAGGCCGGCCGAGUGGCCCAUCUCAGCCCACGAAACCCCGCCAAACUCAGUCCCAGACUCCCAGGCCGCUACGCCGUGAAGCCAGCCAGCCCACCAUGAUCUUGAGUCUUCUUGACUCCUGACGAAACGGCUCCUCCCUAUACGCACAAUCCAGCGAGGUGCGGCACCUCGGCAACAGACCGCUCCGAUGUGGCCGUAGCCGACCUAGAGCGCGGCGAGUAGGCCGCGACGUGGAUGCCCUUCUCGGCGCAGUAAGUAACCCCUCAGUGUCCGCUGCUGCCACACGCCCUCUCGAAGUCGAACGGCAUGGCGUCCUCCUUCUUGGCCGGGAACGAUGGCGGCACGGGCUUUGAUGCAGACAGGCCAGUGGAUCAGGUACAGGUCCAGGUACUCCAUCAGUCCAUCUGCAGCUGCAGGUUUCUACAUGCUCUCACACGUUAUAUCAUUAUCUAGAGGAGAUGUUAAGGUGAUCGCGGACUAAAUGGUUUUGAUUUUUAAUUGCAAAUUUUGCAAGUGCUACGGACGGGGGUUUGGCGGAGGUCCGGGAGCACGAGGGCCGAAUGGUACUGCGUGCACCACAGCUUGGACGUGACGAACAUCUCCUCCCGGGACGCAACGCGCCCGCGCCGCACCGCCUCGGCCACGGCGUCGCCGAGCGGCUUCUCCGUGCCGUACAUGUAGGCGGUGUCGAAGUGGCGGUAGCCCACCUCGAUGGCAGCCAGCACGGCGUUCUAGCUUGGUGGCCUCGGGCACCAGGGGGGAUGCCGCCGUGCCCAUGCCGACCGCCGGCAUCAGCCUCGCGUUGCCCGACCGAAGCGCCACCUCUGGCACCGCCGCGGCCGUCCCAUUCGACGCCAUACCGAUGCGCCUCUCGAAUGGAGAGUUCUUGAGGAUGCUGCUUGGCGUGCUAAUUUAACGCAGGCCAGAGAGGGUUUGACAUCAGGUCUUGCGGCUUGCUGCACUUGGUUACACGUACUUUCGCUUUCUCGUAGUAGGUGAUGUCAACUGUCAAGCACUCAUGAACAACCCAGUCGUUGAUCAGGGAAAGGUCAUUUUUGAGUAGUUCCUUUGGUAGCGCGUUUGUAAUAUUCGAUCAAUCAUUCUCCUGAAAGAUGCUUGAGAGAAGAAUACAAAAGAAGCGAUGAACCAGAGUGAGGUUGUGAGUUGUGACACCAUUUGAUGGCGACUGCACACCAUCAUCACUUUGGUUGCUUUUACAUAGUUCGUCAAACACUUCUUUAGUGCGACUAUCAUGGCUCCAUGGAAACACGUGCUCUGGAAGCUUCAGAAAGAAUGCCAACACGGAAGCAUCACUGUUGGAACGUAUCCAGUGGUGCACUGCUCCCCACGGCACCGCAGACGGCACCAGUACGUGCAUAGCGCGCUGCACUGCUAACAGAUACAAUAAAAACCGAGGCUUAUCUAGUUAUCUUGUACGGACUAGUAGGUUGUUGCCGGGCUGUGACCUAUGAGCAGAGCAACGCACGAUCUAGUGCCGGACGGGGAGCACUACAGCACGGUAUGGUUUGCAUGAUACUAGAAGAACGGACCUUCGAUGAAACAACAAAAUCAGCGCGUUCGGCUGGGCUUUUUGACGCGGCUAGCCCAGCCGUUUGGCUGCCCAUUUGCAGCCGUUCGGCUGCCCUCAAUCUCCUACCAACGAUCUCGCCUUGUUUUCUCUCUUAUUCCGUUCCCACAUCACAAACUCUACUCUCCCUCUCACCCGCUCUCCCUCUAGCCCGCUCUCCGCCGCCGUCGCUCCCUCCGUCUCCAUCCCCAGCGUCGCUCCCCUCCGUCUUGUCGGCCGAGGCACAAGUCGGCCGUCCGAAAUCCAUCUCGCCGCCUGCACUGUCUCCAUCGGGCCACCUCCCGCCGUCUUCACCGUGUCUGGGCUCGCGGCGGCUAUCGUCUCCACCGCGCCACCUCCCGCCUGCCGACUCAAGCAAGAGGGUCUCUCUCAAAUCUCGCAGACGCCACAUCCAGGCCGUGCCGCCGCCAUUGCCCGAGGACGCCCCCGAUUUAGAUCCAGGUAACCCCCAUGUUUCAGUUACUGCAAUAUUUUUGUAGCUUAGAACAACUGGGUUUGUUUACAAAUGAUGAGGAUAUUACACUAUUUUGUGUGUUGCAUUUAUUGUUUGCAUCCGAAGGCGCACAUGUUGCAAGCCCAAGCCUCGUUUAUGUUCGAUUCGAGUUCGUUUGCUUACUUUCAAUUUUAUGAUUGAGUGUGGGACAUCUCUGAACCUUUGUAGCAUCUAUAGGGUUGGUUCUAGUAUCAGGGUGCUGACCUUUUGUAUUUCUACCUUUUAUCUUCUCUAAAUUUUGUCAGCUUCACCUAGUUUCAUAUGUGCCAUGCUACUCUAUCCUAGUUUUAAUCUAUUUCAAGCUCUUUUGGUUGAAAUUGCCUGGAUAACCAGAAAUUUGGCUACUAUACUAUACUAUAAUCAUAGUAAAUGCUCUAUUCCUAGUACAAAUAAAUACUUUUUCAUAAUAAAUGCUGACAUAUACUUCUUUAAAUUUUUAUUGGAUUAAUAACUAAAUUCUGGUACUCUAUGGAAGUUUUAUUGAAUUAGUAACUAAAUUAUGGUACUCUAGCAGCUUCAAAUGCUACUGGUUUGGUGGAUUGAAAUGUGUAGUAUUUUUUUUGCUGAAAUAUACAAGUUAGCAUGAUUCUACAAUGUUGUUGUUGCACUGGUGCUUCACCAUUGUGCUACCUCAUGCUUUUGCUUGAUGCUAAUUUUUCAUCCAGCGUCAUGACAACACAGUUUCUAAAUUUCAGAUAUUUCCAUAUAGAAAGAGCAGCUCAUGUGUUUUCUCAUAACAAAAGAUCAAAUAUUUUGAUUUCCCUUCCCUGUUGAGGUCUUUGUUUGAUGUAAGUAGAACAUCCCAAACUUUAGGCAAGUUUUAUUGGAUUAGUAACUAAAUUCUGGUACUCAAGCAGCUUGAUAUGCUACUGGUUUGGUGAAUUGAAAUGUGUAGUAACUUGUUUCUGAAAUAUACAAGACACAUGUUUUACAUUGUUGUUGCUACACUAUUACCUCAUGGUUUUGCUUGCUGCUAAUUUUGACACAAACUUCUCUGAAUUUUUAUUGGAUUAGUAACUAAAUUUUGGUACAAUGUUGAGUGCAAAUUUGAAGCAUUGAUCUAACAAUAUUUUGUUUUGCCCAUAUGCAAUCCUCUGCAGCGAGCCUACUUCCAGUGCAUUGUUCCUUCGCAACGGUGCCCACACUGGAAUCGUCAUCCACUUCUUCGUGCUCUCCCCCACCAACUUGUCCAUACAAUCUCCGUUACAAACGCGCCAAGACAACUGCUAAGGCAAGUGACAUGUUCAUUACGUACUGAGUUUGUGUAUUUUUAUGUCUCCUGCAUUUUCUUCUUUGUUAAAAAAAUUGCAGCUCCUACCUACUCAAACUAUGCAUUGUACAACUGGGCUCAGAUGGCUAGCAGCCAUGCCAAUUGGGAUGAGGCGACAACAAAAACAUUCCUCGACCUCUGCAUUGCUGAGAAGAACCAACUGAUUGGAGCAACAAGUGCCUAAAUAAGUUGGGAUGACAACACGUCUACCGCAACUUCAAACAACAGACUGGUCUGACUUUAGACAGCAAGCAGCUGCAGAACAAACUGAGCACCAUGCGAAGGUCGUUCAUGAAUUGGAGGGACCUUCAAGUCCAAUCAGGCCUAGGCCGUGACGAACAUACUGGUGGUGUUGCAGCUGAUUCCAAUUUUUGGGCUACCGACGAAGGGGUACAUGCUGUCACCUUUGUAGUACUUCUUGUUUAUUCAAUUCGAGCAACAAUUUUUUUCUAACAUGUUCUUGCGUGACCGACAGGAAAUUAGUGCUGGUGCUGCCCAGACGAGUACUGCUAAACCACCAUCAUUCCUUGAAGAACUUUACACGUUGGUCGGCCACACCACCCAAGAUAGGGGGACCUUGCUAACUGCAGGAGGUGUCCAUGAGGCAACACCCAGUAUUGGGAGCGAGGACACUCCAGCAGACAUGUAUCUAGACCCCAUGGCUGCUAGCAGUGUUCGUAAUAUGUCUAAAAGGCUAACCUGGGAGGAAGUUGUUGACAGUCCUCCGAAAAAGAAGAGUGACAGCUUGGAGGACUACGUCAGAGAACUCUCUGAAACUGUAGCUAUGAGAAGCCAAAAACGUCUCAGCCGUGAGUAAGAGGAGCUGGACCUUGCAAUGCAGAUUUUAGAAGAAGAUGAUAUUGACGAGGGGUCUAAUCUGUACUGCAUGGCAAUAUAUUUAUGCAAGAAUGCAGUGAAUUGAAGGGCCUUCAUGAAGAUGAAAACCAAAGAGGGCCGCCUGCAUUGGAUCCAAUUCAACUGGGAGAGGGAGAACAAGUAGUGCAGUGUGGCAUUCGUUGGUUUUAUUGUAGUGUUGUGUACUGAUGGUUGAGAGCAAUGUCUUAGCAUGUAAUGUGGCCUCUGGCCUGAACAAUGUGUUGUGUGUGAUGUCUAAUUUUCCAAGUAAAAUGUGGUCCGUGAUUUGCAUUGCAUGUGCAUCUAUUUCAUUCAUACGUGAAAACGCAUGUGAUUUACAUUGCAUAUGCAUCUAUUGAAAGAAGUUUUAUCUUGCUUUUUAUUGUACCAGGAAUGCGUGGAGGACCAUUGAGGACCUAUUCAGCCAUCCAGGGAGGAGGACAAGGAAGCCAUAUUGACAGGUUUGAAACAGUUUGUUCUAUAACUUGUGGUGGAACUUUUACUUUAUAGCCUUAUGAUUGAACCAUUAAUGUCUAUUCCAUGCACAGAUUGCUUGCAUUAUGAGCAACGCUGAGGAAUCAAAUAGCGACACUGGCAGUGAUGCUAGCUCCAUCGUAUACCAGCUGGCGGGGGUAGCAGCAGCUGUAGCAGCAUAUGCAGCUGCGAGCAGAAGUCCAGCUCCUGUGUUGAACCCGCUCAUGGAGUUGCCACGAAUGACCGGAUGUCAAUGGGUUGAGCUGAAUAUGCGGGGAAGCUGGAGGUGCUACGACAAUUUUCGUAUGUAUCCUGAUGCAUUCCUUCAGUUGUAUGAUAUCUUAGUUAAUUAUCAUGGGCUGGAAUCAACACAAGGAGUCGAAUCUAUCGAGACUUUAGCUAUGUUUGUCUAGGCUUGUGGGACACAACAGGCUUCUAGACAAAUUAGAGAUAGAUUUGAGCGGUCAUUGGACACAGUUAGCAGGAAGAUGGCUCAUGUGGCAGAUGUCAUGUUCUCAUUCGCACAGACGGUUAUCGCUCCAAAGGACCCGUCGUACUCAAAGGUUAAUCAUAAGCUCAACCCAUAUGCACCGUUCUUUGAUGGGUGCAUAGGUGCUUUAUAUGGAACUCAUGUUCCCGUACAAAUUGGGCGUGGGUCACGUUUAGACUUCAUUAAUAGGAAAGGGUGGCCAAGCUUUAAUGUGUUAGCCAUAGUGGAUAUGGACAUGCUGUUCACAUAUGUAGGAGCGGGGAGGGCCGGGUCCAGUCAUGACAUGGCGGUGUUGAGAGACUGUAUGGAGACACCAAAUUACCCAAAUCCACCUCCAGGUACGUUAGUUGGCUAAUUACGUUCAUGAAGCAACAAUUGUAAAAGUGUAAUGUUUUAUGUUGUGUAGGAAGGUACUAUCUGGUGGACUCAGGUUAUACAGUUCGUGAAGGCUAUCUAGGACCAUAUCACAGUACGAGGUACCAUCUAGAGGAGUUCAGCCGCAGAGCGGCUGAAAGUUUGGAGGAGAAAUUCAACUUCCACCAUUCGAGUCUUCGCAAUGUUGUGGAAUAGGCAUUUGGCAUGCUCAAAUCGAGGUGGCAUAUUUUGCGAGAAGUACCAUUCUAUGAUCGAGAAAGGUAAACAAAGAUCAUUAUUACUUGCUUUGCACUCUACGAUUAUUUGUUGGACCAUGCCGAUGCAAGUACUGCAGAUAGGAACAUGGCGCGAACUUCGGAUUACGUCGUGUCCGCAUGAGUGGCAGCAAAUGCUACACCUGAUAUGGCAAGUGUAUGAGAUUGGAUUAUGGCAGGAAUCUCCUUGAUGUAGUUAACAGGUAUGACUGGUUUUGGAUUUGCUUCUAUACAAGUUUGCAUAGAUGUUGGUGAUGACUAAUGGCUAUACCAAAAUGGGUACAUGCAAGUGGUGAUAGCAAAUUUUGACAUUUAGGCAGCCAGGUAGUGGAAUUUGAGCAAACAGACCCUAACAAUGGUACUGGAUGCCUCGCUGUUACCUCCCUGUAAUGCUUUAUGUCUAUGUGUGUUUGUUUCUGCCAUAUGUUGUAUGUCAAGUAUUUUGUGCGGAAUUUUUUAUUGUAAUGAACGUAGAACAGCACUGAUUUAUUGACUAUUGAUAUGCUGAUGGCGGGUUAAUUUGAUUGGUUGGGUUGCGUUUGCGCCAAAAAAUUGAAAUCAAUUGUGCGCGUUCCCGCCAAAAAUUUGAAUUCAAUUGCGGCAUUUCGCAGUACAAGCCAGCUACAAAGAAGCAGUAGAUGCAGCGCAGCCAGAAGCAGCCAGCUGCAAAGCAGUAGCUAUUAUUCAAAAGGUAAUCCGGUAAAAGGAGAAUUUCUUGGCGAAGACGAGCACCAGCAUUUUCAUGAAGAGUUGCAAAAGGGAAAACAGAUUCAUCGAAGAUCACAUCACGGGUGAUAUACACACGCCCAGUGGAGAUAUCAAGACACUUGAAUCCUUUGUGAAUAGAACUAUAACCAAGAAAGGCACAUCUUUUUGAAUGAAAAGCAAGUUCUCUUGUGUUGAAUGGCCUAAGAUUUGGCCAACAUGCACACCCAAAGAUACGAAGGGAAGUAUAACUGGGUUUUUCCUGAAGAAGAAGCUCUACUGGCGCAUGAUAGUUGAUGACUUUGCUAGGUAAAAGGUUAAUCAAAUAGGUAGCGGUUAGAAAGGCUUCGUCCCAGAAUUUCAUGGGUAUGGAUGCAUUUACAAGAAGAGCAAGACCAACCUCUACUAUAUGCCUAUGUUUUCUUUCCGCGAAGCCAUUUUGUUGGUGUGCAUGAGGACAUGAAACUCGAUGAGAGAUGCCAAUUUUCUGGAAGAAAAAAUGCAAUCCCUCGUACUCUCCUCCCCAAUCCGUUUGCAUGGAUAGAAUCUUCCUAUUAAACUUGCGCUCAACAAGGUUUUGAAAGUUAUGGAAGAUUUGAAAAACUUUGGAUUUCUUCGAAGCAAAUAGAUCCAUGUAUAUUUACUAUAGUCAUCGAUGAAGCUUACAUAAUAUGUAUGUCUACCGACACAUUCUAGAGCUGGACCCCACACGUCCAAAUGGAUCAAUUGGAGAGGAAAAGUAGACAUAUUACUAGAAUUUGCAUAAGGUAAUUAAUGGCUCUUGGCUCUUUGACAAGGAUCACAAACUGAAUUAUUGCUAGUAUCAUCUAGGAAUGACAACUUAUUGUUCUUCAAAACAAGCUUAACAAUAGGGAAAGAUGGAUGACCCAAACGGCUAUGCCAUCUAUACAUGGACGGCUUAUUGACUCCAAACGCUACUUUAUUUGUGCUUGCUUCGGAAGAACUAGAAACUAGGGGAUAAAGACCUCCUUCACACCUGCCAUGAUGAAGAGUUUUCUUCGUUUCCCGGUCCUUGAUGAGGAAAAAAUUUGGAUGAAAUUUGAGGAAAAAAUUUGGAUGAAAUUGAAGGAAAAUAUUAUUAUCAGAGGCAAGAUAAUGAACUAAAGCAAGACUUUUAUGAGCGCUAGAAACAGGAAAAAUGUUUUUAAUAAAAGAUUGCGAGCUGGGUAUGUAAAGUUGAAUGACCAAUACUUCUAAUUUUCAUACCUGAACCAUUUGUUGUGUGUACUUGAUCUUGACCACCAUAUUUGUCACGUGCCGUCAUCUUGUCCAAUUCACUGGUAAUAUGAUCAGUCGCACCACUAUCCAUAUACCAGUUAGUGUCAACACCAUAUGCGGCCAAGCUUGACUUGUUGUUGUUUGAUGGCUGAAAAUCUUCUUCAAACCGAUGCCAACAUUCAAUAGCAGUAUGAUUGGUCCUGCCGCAUAUCUGACACCGGGGUCUAUUUAACUAUCCUCCGGACUUGAAGUUGUUGUUGUUGGAGUUGUUGCUGCUUGAAAAAUUACCGCGCCCUCCAGCACGGCCGCCUGACCCUCGCCCACGGUUUCCUCCAUGGCCACGAGGGUUGAAGCCUCCUCGACCUCUAGAAGCUAAAUUUGUCGAGGAUUGAUAGUGACCUCCUGAUCGUUGAUCAAACAUAUCCAAACGCAUCUCAUAGGCCAUGAUUUGAGCAUAGAGAUCAUUCAUAGAGAUUGGAUCUGACCGACCCAAAACAGAAGAAACAAUAGGAUUAUAUUCGAAAUCAAGACCGUUCAGAAUAUAGGAUAUCAUCCCAUCAUUGUCGAUAGGCUUCCCGGCAAUAGCAAUCUCAUCUCCGAUAGCCUUCAUCUUGUUGAAGUACGUCGCGAUGUUCAUGCUUCCCUUCUUGAGGCUUGCAAGUUGCAUCCGUAGAUUGGUUACUCGUGCACGUGAUUGUGCCGAGUACAUGUCUUCUAAUGCCGCCCAAACUUCGGACGACGAUGUCAACGUAGCUACUCGCGCCAACACUGUGGACGUUAGGGAGUUGACAAGAUGGACAAGUACCUGCUGGUCCUGCGCUAGCCAGAUCUUGUACGCUGGAUUGGAUACGACAUUCUUCUCGUCAUCUUGAAUUGUUUUCAGUGGUGCCGGGAUCGAGCCGUCAAGGAUGCCAAGAAGACGAGCACCCCUAAUCGGCGACAACACCUGGGCCUUCCAAAGAAUGAAGUUCUCUUGUGUGAGCUUCUCGGAGAUGGGCGGCCCGAGAGCACUUGAUGACGACGACGAGGAACUGGAGGCCAUAGCUGCGGCUUAGAUGUGUUUUGAGGAAGUAGCUCUGAUACCAUGAAAGAAACAAUGGUAACUAAGUGAACGUGGAUGCCUAUAUUGGCUAGCCUAUGGCUUCAUGCUAAUAUAUGGGAAAUUCCCAACAAAUUUCAAGAGUUUGAUUACAACAUGUGACACAAAAUAUAGUUGGUUUAAACCUUUCCUAUCUAUACAAUCAUCUAUCUGUAACUCAAGGUUUGACCAACAUAUCUAUGCAUCCAAACCAUCACUUUCAUUUGACGUGUUAACAUAAAACUCUUUUACAACCGAAAUAUUAUCUUUAACAUUGCCAAGCCUUCUUGAAAUUAUUCUCUUUUGUUAGAAACAAGAACACAUCAGUCGACUAAGCCAAGGCAGCAACCUCUCUUAGCCACCCUUUUCAUUUACCCUUUUUCCCUUUGUAGGAAUUACUUCAGAUCCUGGUGAAUUAGGCCAAUCUAGAGGAGUAUGAUCUUUGGUCAGAUACAUGGGGAUCCUAUGUUUUCUCAUCAACAAGGCAUGUUUCAUAAAAUAAAAUGGUUGUGCUACGCGAUAUAUGGUUUGCCCGACCGUAGGGCCACCUCCGACACUGCCGCCAUCGCCGCCAUCACAACAUCGCUGUGGAUUCCAUGCUAGCCGAUGUGCUCGAUCUGAAGGUUAGAUGUGUGUGUGUCUCCCUGCAAUUAUAUUGGGCGUCCUCGGUGUGAUGAGCCCGUGCCAGCCGGCCGCUUUAUGUAUCGCACUACACGGUGAAUUGAGGGCUGGUGGACAGGUGACAUGGAUGCGUUCGAAUCCUGACUUGCUGCAUUGGCUGAGCUUUUAGUACUAGGAUGGAGAGUUCUUUGUGAAUAAGAUGUUGCGCUGACUUGCUGACGUCACGCGUUACCCUUGCACUUGGUGAAACUUUCGUUUUUCCGUUACAAAGAAAUUAUACUUUUGCAGGUGAAUGCGUAACAGGUGAUGUCGUCAACCACUCAUGAAUGACACGGGCGUUGAUUAGGGCAAGGUCUUUUAGUUGUGCUUAGGAAGAAAAAGGUUUGCAUGUAAGAGACUCGUUCAAGAAGUCUCCUGCAGCUGCUUGACGAUGGUGAUUGCGCACCGGCAGUUUGGGAGGUUAGGGCCUCUUUGGACGUCACAUUUUAUAUGAUUGGAAUGUCUUGGCACCUUGAAUCCUAAUAUGUCAAACAUACCAUUUUGUAGAGCAUCUAGUGAUGAUAAAAGUAUAUAAACAGUGCCUCAAGCUAAAAAAGAAUAUAUGUUAAAAAAGCUAAAAAAGAAUAUACUUACACAACCAUUUGAGCUGAACAAAUUCUCCACCCCCGUGGUCCCUAUAGGUUGGACAAAGCCAUGGAGUUAGUGUUGGACAAAGCACCACGCAGUCAAUGUUAGGGCAUCUCCAACGGCCGGCUACGCCGCCAGCUGAAGAAAUUUUUUACGGAGCAAAGCGCAUGUCUCGCACGACUCCCGACAGCGUCUACCGCCGGAGACGAAGGGAAGCCGGCAGGGGGUGGGGGCGUCGAGGUGAUGGUCAAAGACGAGGACGAAGCAGCGGCGGUGGCACGUCGGAUCUAGCGUGCGCGUGUUGGACCAUGCUGGGCCGUGUGAUGCUUGGUCGUUCUAUCUUCCAUUCGAUUUAUAGAAGCCUCAAAAUAGUGGGCAUGGUGGAAGAAAACGAAGCAAAACUCUCUGUCAUAUCUGGAAAAAACAGCGACAUUCAGAGAAGAAAUACUAGUACUAGCCAGCACUUAUGGUCGCCAAUCAUUGAAGAACUAGUGCUAUAUGAAAUUACAAUGAAUUCAUAUUUUUAUAUCAAAACGAAGUCUGGAAAUGGUGGCUACAAUAUUUACUGAAAUGAGUGAAGAUGGGAAAUAACACCGACACGCAGCAGUACAAACGAUGGAACUACCUUAUUCAAAUGCACUAUAUACGUACAUGCUAAUAGUGACACCUGGGUUUAUGAUGCGUAGUUCUCCUACACGUUCGAGAAAAAAACAAAGUGAUGCCGGGCGGGGCAUUUUUCAGUGCCCCUACUCUUCAACGUUCAGAUCUGCUGCAUCAACUGAAGUGAAUUCGCCCUCUCGCGAGAACAAGUCUGUACCCUUUACAACCUUCUUCUGCGGGAUUUGGCUGAUCUUGAGCCGGUCCUCGUCAGUCAGCUCCCAGUCGAAAAUCUCUAGGUUUUGCUUGAGCCUCUCCAUGUUGUAGCUCUUGGCGAUGGACGUCACUCCCUGCUCAUAUAUCCAUCUCAGUGACACCUGAAGUACAAGAUCGAGCGCACUGUAAGCAAGAAAGGGAUACAUGCAUAGAACUGAAACGGAACUGUGGUCGCAGGAUUGCAGCAGGCUUUUACACAGCGUACCUGUGCGAUGGUUUUCCCUCUUGCCUUGGCAAUCCCGGCGAGCACAUCGGACUCCAGCACGGCGUUGCCCGUCCCGUCCCAAUUCUGGCCGCCCAGCGGCGAGUAGGCCGCGACGUGGAUGCCCUUCUCGGCGCAGUAACCCCUCAGUGUCCGCUGCUGCCACACCGGGUUCAGCUCCACCUGGUUCACCGCGGGAGGGAUCGUGGCGGCGGCCAGGACCUUGUCGAGGUGCUUGGUGGUGAAGUUGCUCACGCCGAUCGCCUUGGCGAGCCCGAGCCGGUGGCACUCCUCCAUCGCCAGCCACACGCCCUCGAAGUCGAACGGCAUGGCGUCCUCCUUCUUGGCCGGGAACGAUGGCGGCACGGGCUUGAUGCAGAUCGGCCAGUGGAUCAGGUACAGGUCCAGGUACUCCAUCUGCAGGUUCCUACAUGCUCUUACAAGUCGCAUCAUGAUCAUCAAGGGGAGAUGUUAAGAUGAUCACGUUUAAUUGCAAGCGCUACCGGGACGGGAGACUCUUACUGCAGGGUUUGACGGAGGGCCGGGAGGACGAGGUCCGGGUGGCACUGCGUGCACCACAGCUUGGACGUCACGAACAGCCCCUGCCGUGACGCGACGAGCCCGCGCCGCACAGCCUCGGCCACGGCGUCGCCGAGCGGCUUCUCCGUGCCGUACAUGUAGGCGGUGUCGAAGUGGCGGUAGCCCACCUCGAUGGCAGCCAGCACGGCGUUCUUGGUGGCCUCGGGCACCAGGGGGAAUGCCGCCGUGCCCAUGCCGACCGCCGGCAUCGGCCUCGCGUUGCCCGACCGCAGCGCCACCUCCGGCACCGCCGCCGCCACCGUCGCCGUUCCCUUAGACGCCAUGCCGAUGCGCCUCUCGGAUGGAGAGCUCUUGUGGAUGCUGCUUGGCGUGAUAAUUUAAGUAUUAGAUGGUCUUGCGCUUGCUGCACUUGGUUACACUUUCGCUUUCUCGUAGUAGGUGAUCAAGCACUGUCGUUGAUCAGGAAAGGUCCUUUUUGAGUAGUUCUUUAGUAGCGCGUUUGUAAUAAUAUUCGAUCAAGCAAUCUCAUGAAGAUGCUUGAGAGAAGAAUACAAAAGAAGCGAUGAACCAGAGUGAGGUUGUCAGACCAUUUGAUGGCGACAGCACACCGUCAUCACUUUGGUAGCUUUUACAGAGUUAGUCAAACACUUCUUCAUGCCACUAUCUUGGCUCCAUGGAAACAAGCGGGCAUUUGGUAGGCCGGACCACCCUUCGGCUAGGUCAGAUGGUGCAGGUGGUCAUGAUUGGUAGCCACGACAGGGUUGCAAGCUAGGCUCAGUGUAUGCAAAAGAGGAUUCCCAGCCAGCAUCGCGUGGAACGCCAAGAUCAAUGUUCCACGCGGUGCAAGCUCGAAGCAGUAGUUCGCGUCACCCUAUUUCGUUUUUCUCAAGCAACACACAUGCUCCGGAAUGGGCGGAGGCCACGGCGACGUGCCGCGGAGGGGUGGAGGCGUGCGGUCGCGGAGAGGUGCUGGGGCUGCAGAGGAGCACAGCGUGGGGGCCGAGCUAGCAGCAGCCACGGCGGCGCACGGAAGAGGCAGUCAGCAGGGGUUGCCGCCGCGGGAGCGAAGUUGCGUAGGGCCGCAGCGGCCUGGAGGAGGCGUCCUGCAACGACUGCAUCGGUGCACGGGGGAGGUGGCCUGCGGGGGCUGUGGCGGCGCUCCCCCACCAGCUCCCGAGGCUGCCGUCUCGACCACCAGCAUUCGCCAUCGUACCCACCGCCGGCGCCCACAGCCCCAUCCCUACCCGACGCUCGUGGCCCCGUCCCCUCCUCCGGCGCCCAAGGCCACCAUCCCCGCCACACGCUCGAGGCUACAAUCCUACUGGGCACCUGUGGCCGUCCUCCCCACCACGCACCCACGACUGCAGUCUCCACCACCGGGCGGCCGCCAUCCCUAUGUCGUGCCCCGCGCCCCCCUUCCCCACUACCGCCCGGCUGAUGCUCAUAAAAGAUGGUGGUAACUCUGCCACAUCCACAGGGUUAGCCUACUUCGACGUACAACAUAUCAAACAGAAUCCAGAUUUAUGGGGUGCAAUUUCGGAACUGUAGGCUCGAGCGAGCCUGGCUGAGGCAGUUCAGGCUGGCAAAAGCCCCGAAGCUUCAGAAAGAAUGCCAACACGGAAGCAUCACUGUUGGAACGUAUGCUGUGGUGCCGUGGGACUGUUGGAACGUAUGCUGUGGUGCACUGCUACCCACGGCACCAGUAUGUGCAUAGCGCGCUGCACUGAUAACAGAUGCUACAAACCGAGCCUUAUCUUGCAGUAGGUUGUUGCCGGGCUAUGAGCAGAGCAACGCACGAUCUAGCGCCGGACGGAGAGCAGUGCAGCACAGGACACAUUCGAACAGUAAGAGGUUUACAUGAUACUCGAAGAAUGGACCUUCGAUGAAACAGCAAAAUCAAUUCCAGUCACCACUGCAAUGCAAAGCGAUUCGAGACGUCCAGUCAAUUUGACAAUGUAUAUGCUGCCAUUUUUAUUCUGUUCUGCGAGGUGUACUGACAAUUCAAAUUUCAAAGUGACGGCAUGGCUUUGCAGGAAUUCCGUCCUGCUUUCAGGACAUACCAUAUCAAACAACCAGUACCAUAAAAUUUUCAGAACACUGCAACUGGAUGGAGAUUUUCAGCUACAUUUCAAAAAUAUCAAGCUCGGCAAGAUCCACACUGGAGGCGCCUUCGGGGCUAAGGAUCCCAUGACUCUGACCCUCUUGAGUUGCGGUAUCUGACUAAUCUUGAAACGGUCUUCAUCGCUCAGUUCCCAAUCGAAGAUCUCCAUGUUCUCCUUGAGCCUCUUCCAUUUUUUUUAACGAGCCAGCAGGAGAGCUGUUGCUAUAUUAAAAGAGAGGAAAAGCCCGACAGGCCGUAUACAAACGUACUAUACAAGUUGUACACUCGCAUCCCCAAAAUGGGGAGGCAGAACUCCGUUAUGACAACUAGUACAAAACGGACGCCUAUCCUGAGAGAAAGUCCCCCAAGUGUUUAGCUCCCGCAGCGACCCACAUCGCAGCUUGGUUCUUGACGCCGUCGGUUAUCUGGAUAACCGUCUUGUCUUUGUGUUGGAAGACUCUCUGUUUUCUCUCUAGCCAGAUCUUCCAAAGAACGAGGAUAAUGAGGGUCCGCAACCCUUUCUCCCGUUCCCCCCGGCCACCGGACUAGCCAGCGUAGCUGUCCACCAAUUUUAGGCUCUUGACAACCAUGCUGGCACCUUGCUCAUAGAUCCACCUCAGAGAAAUCUAGGGGGAGAAGGGAAAGUAGUUAUGCUGCUAGUGCUAGGUGCUAUAACAUCAUUGCAGAAAAAAAUCCAGGGGACUCCAACAUAUUAACACUGUAUUAUAUGGUUUUGCCAUGCUGUUGUGUAAAAGUUUAGAGUUCUCUUAGGGCUUCUACACUCGCUCAAAAAAAAAAACUUGCUAAAUUUGAGCACAUCAUGUGCUCUGCCAAACUUUAAAUUUUAAAACCUUCUCUUUUUUUUUAAGAUUACAAAUUGCACAAGCCUAGUUAAGAACUUAAGACACUAUGCGGUGCUACACCAGCAGCUACUUAUGAGAAAGCCUUCGGAAAUGCUGAAAUAUUACAUGAACUGAAAUGAUUGGUUAACUUUGACCAAGGGCCUGUUUUCUUCCACUUGCUAAACUUUAGCACCCGUCACAUCGAAUGUUUAGAUACUAAUUAGAAGUAUUAAACGUAGACUAUUUACAAAACUCAUUACAUAAGACGAAUCUAAACGGCGAGACGAAUCUAUUAAGCCUAAUUAGUCCAUGAUUUGACAAUGUGUUGCUACAGUAAAUAUUUGCUAAUGAUGGAUUAAUUAGGCUUAAUUAGGCUUAAUAGAUUCGUCUCGCCGUUUAGAUUCCACUUAUGUAAUUGGUUUUGUAAAUAGUCUACGUUUACUACUCCUAAUUAGUAUCUAAACAUUCGAUGUGACACGUGCUAAAAAUAAGACACGGGAAGAAAACGCCCCCCAAGAUUCAUUGAGAGAUAUAGUUCGUACCUGAGCCACAGACUUCCCUCUAGCCUUUGAAAUCUCUUCCAGAACUUCAGACUGCAGUAUUGCAUUUGACAUGCUUUGGCCUCCAAGGGGAGAAUAUGCAGUCACAUGAAUACCCUUAUCUUUGCAGAACUCAAUUAGCUUUUUCUGCUGCCAAAUUGGAUUCAUUUCAACCUGCAAAUGUCAUAAAUACCAGUGCUGUAACAUGUCAGAUGAUAUGGCAUAGGUAUGAUCGAGGCUAUACCAUAUACAAAGUUGUAGGUGGGGAUACUCAUCCCCCAUCGUUUGUGUAAAAAAAAGUUAUUAACAAUUGAGAAUUCAUUAAACAGUCUUCAAGUUCUAUAUCUAGAAGUAAACUUAAUAUCAUAUUGGUCUGUUCUUCCUUCAUACGGAAUAUUAUUUCACGCAUACUACCAAUUAAAAAUAGAUUACAAAAUCCUGAAAGCAAAGACUGACAGCUAACGAAGGUUACUGCAAUUUCCAUCACUAAUUAUCCAGUUGACCAAUACAAACCUGAUUAACCGCUGGUGGGAUCUCAGCAAUGGCAAGUAGCUCUUGCAGCUUCGUUGUCGUGAAAUUGCUGACACCAAUCAUUCUAGCAAGGCCAAGCCGAUGGCAUUCCUCCAUCGCCCGCCACACGCCGCUCAAGUCCAUGGGCAUUAUGUCCUCCCUUUUAAUUGGAAACUGGGGCUCGCCGGGCUUUGCAGCCAUUGGCCAAUGAACCAGGUACAAAUCAACGUAUUCCAUUUGAAGGUUCCUACAGAUGAAGAGGUGAGAAUCGUGAUUGCCACAAAAAAACAGCAAUUUUAGUUUUAUGAGUUUUAGUACUCCAGGCUUCCAGCUAGCAGCUACUGCAGAAUUGCUGGGUUGGAUUGCAACAAUUUUGUUUUAAUUUUCAAAUUCCUUUCGCCUGUUCUUUAAAGAACCAAGAUUUAAACCAUAGAGAGUUUAGUAGAUUCUAGUAAUUGAAAACCGGAUCUCUAAAAAAAAUAGAAGCAAGCAAAUUUUAAGCUCGGGAAACUUACUGCAAGCUCUCCCUGAGGGAAGGGAGCACGAGGUCCGGAUGGCACUGCGUGCACCACAUCUUGGUCGUGACGAACACGUCCUCCCUGGAUGCCACGAUCCCGCGCCGUGCCGCCUCGGCCACGGCCUCACCGACGGCCCGCUCGGAGCGGUAGAGCACGGCGGUGUCGAGGUGACGGUAGCCGAGCUCUAGCGCGGCGAGGACGGCGGCCCUGACGUCUUCCUCCACGAACGGGAACGAUGCCGUGCCAAGCCCCACCGCCGGCACCGGCCGGCCGGCGGCGCCAGCUAGGAACUCCGGGAUCUUGGGACAACCGGUGCCGACCCUCCCUGUUUGUGAUGCCAUGGCCGGCGUCGCCUGCGUGUUCCGCGUUCUCUCUUGGGGAUAUGGACAAGAGCUAAAUUGAAAAGGAGAAAGAAAGUUGUCUCGUGAGUCGUGACGUGACGCGUGUCCGGCGAGCCCCCCUCUCGGAGAAGAAAUUUAAGGACAGCAAACCAAAAGAAGCCAAACUGAACAAGAGACUGCUAGUAAAGCGUCCAGCGCGCUUGAUGUUCCAAAGCCUUUCUACUUAGCUCGUCUCCAUAUCGGCAUAUCGCUAACACUCCACUACAUGGAUUGCAGCCCCGUCGUUGCCUGACCAGAUGAAAACAUGGCUAAACAAUCCUGCUCCGAAUCCACCUUCCUCUCAUUCAAAUGAUUUCUAACCCAUGCCAAUCCCAAACCAAGCUCGUGAAGCUUCACAUGGACCAUAUACAAUCACAACCUUCCUCAUUUUCAGACCUCAGGACAUCAACUUAACGUACAAAGCUUCUGCACAUCUCAAACCAAAUGGUAAAUUGGUAAUUAACCACCCAUCAGUUCAGGUAGAGAUCAAACGGUUCAAUCGCUAACAUCACAACCAGAGUUUUACUAAAAGUAUGCGGCAACGCUGCAUCUUACAUCAGACUACUAUAGUACUAGACAUUCAAUUGAGCUGGCUGCAUAGCCAAAUAUCCUAGCUGGUAAGUAUGAUCACUUAGACUGAAAGGAACAACUAGCCAAGUAACCAACCACAGGUCCAGUACAGCAUCCACCUUAGAACCAGCAGCAUGACACAAAAGCAUCCAGAACAUGAAGCUCAAAAUCCCUGCAAUCAGAUGAAGAGUGAGAAAUCAUGAUUGCCACACUAGCUAAACCGUUAAGUUCAAAGCUGGACAUGACUGGGGAAAAAACUGAAAGUUGGAGAGACAUGACUGGGCAAAUGUCUGUUCUGAAGAUUGGUUAGAACACGACUCCUGGGUUGAUCGGCUUCCUCCGUGUCAAGGUCGACGACAGCAAUCUACGCACAACAAAUGUGUGCUUGACCGCCGCUUCCCUACCUGCAGCUACGGACAGGGCCGGCCACGGCGGCGCAGAGGAAUAGGAGGGCUGCUGCGAUGGGAAUAUCUUAGUAUUCAUCUUGCUUGGUACUGUUUCCUCUACGGCUCUACCAUGUUUCUUCUCUAGAGACUGUGUCAUGUACGAAAAUCUUGACAUCACCAAUGGUCUCCUAUACAAUGAAGCACGCGGACUUCCUGAGCUCGACCGCCUGUUACCGUGACGCCAACCAUACUCCCUUUGCCAUGGCCCAUGACAACAGCGGUGGCGUCGACAAACUUUGCCGGAAUCCACACUCAAGGUUGGUGGAUUAACCACCAGAUAUUAUCAUGUCUUUACUGAUUCAGCCCAACUAGCUUUCCUGCUGCUCUGAAGUUGCUAUCACUUGAUUUGCUCCAUUCAUGGGACGCAAUCCAACAGAAUGUUCAGGAUUUGAGGCAUUGUUAAACACACUUGGCAUUCGGCCCGGUUUUUCUGUAGAUGAUUAUGCGCACGUCCGGGGGAAUGGAGGCACGAAGAAGGUUUCUUCAGAACAAAAACUGGUGGUAAGAUCCGAAGCAGACGCACUGACGAGGCAUGUCCAUCAGCAUCCUGCAGCUGCAGACGAUUACCAGCCACGGUACGUGCUCGCCUUCGUACAGCCUGGGAGGAGAGUAGGAGACCACUGCGAGGCGCGUACCAUGUCGGCCAUGCCCAGCCGGCAGCCGGCGCGAACGCAGGCGCCUGGACCUUAACCGGCGAGCGGCGCGCGCCUCCGGCUUACCCGGUCGUAGCUGCGGGAGCAGAGCAGCGGAGAUGUCGCUGGUGCUAGCCCUUGAGCAAGAUGAGGCCUCACGAUCCCCGCCGGGACAGAGCGCGGCGGUGCCGACCACAGGAGCAAGGAUACGGAGGCGUGUAGCGGCUGGAACGCGGCGGCGCUCCGGCGAGCCGAGGACCCAAGCAGAGGAAGCGCGGGUGGACGGUGGAGGCCCCUUUACCAAGCCCGUGGGGGACGGUAUACCGUCCACCCCUUGAGUUCCUGCAGCCGUUCGAUCGGGCAUGUGCGGCCCGGAUGCGGCUCAGUUCCAGUCUGACUCGGUCGGCUCAGUUCCAGGAGGGCAGGAGCCCCUACAACCCGCUGCUUGAGAUCGCCGGCAGCCUGUGUGCCGCCGUGUCGUCGCCGCCUUGCGCCGAGCUUUGCUGACGAACGCGUUCAUCUGCGGCGAGGACGUUCUGGCGCCACGCCGCUACGCAUCGUCGACAGCCGAGAUCCAACCAGCAAGGUCUUGGCUCGAUUGAUGGAUUGAUGCUGAGAACAAGAGGAUCAAUGUAUUGAAGCUCCGCGUGGGUCAUCGGCGUCCGUGAGGCCAAACAAGACGGGCGAGAUUGAACUCGAGGUGCUGGGCGGGCCUUGCCCGGUAACGCGUGUUGUUCAGUACGGUCUCAACGACGCUGAAAACCCAAACGAAAAGAAACAAGUACACUAACUCAAAUCGGAUGUUUGAAGUUGAAGAGAGAUGCAGCCACAACAACCAUAAAUUUAGCCCUGUUUGGAUACCCUCAAAUGAAGAGCUAAAGUUUAGCACCUUGGAAUGUUUGGAUGGUGUGCUAAAUUAUAGCACAUUAAUUUCCAAAAGACAAUUAUAACCCUUUGCUCUUCUACCCCACUGAACAAAUCCUAGCUAGCUUCCUUUUCUCCAUCAAGCGUGUCGCGCUUACCCACAGCGCAGGGCCGCGCGGCCGCGGCGGAACCGGUGGCCGCUGGGGAGCAGCCGCAGGUGACGGAGCGGGCGGGAGGAACCGGUGGCCGUCGGGGAGCAGCCGCAGGCGAAGAAGCGGAACUCCACCAUGGCUGCCACCUAUGCCUUCCUCGGCAGCCGGGCUUCGGGACCAUCGGCGCGCGCUGCGUCGUCAAGGCCAACCACUUCCUCACCGAGCUCCAGUUCCGCCGCCGCCGCCUCCCUCCCCGCUCCUCCCUCGCGCCCCCUUCAGAUCGGCACGCCGGCGAAUGAGCCAUGGCCGAGCGGAGGAGGUAGGGCCGGUGGAGCCGGGCGAAGGAGGCAGGGCCGGCGGAGGCGGCGGGGACGGGCGGAGGAGGCACGGCCGGCAGAGGCAGCGGGGCCAGGCGGAAGAGGCAGGCGGCGGGGAGGAGAGAGGAGAGGAGAGGGGGAGGCAACUAGGGAAAAUGUGGGAUUGGGGACCACUUUUAGCACUAUUAGCAGGUUUUAUCGCCCCUUUGAUGUGCUAAUGAAAUUGGGUGUGCUAAACUUUAUCACUCACCUUUUAGCACACUUGUUUGGAACCUCAAGUGCUAAAAUGGUGUUAAAAGUGGAGUGCUAAACUUUAGCACCCCUCUUCCAAACAGGACCUAAGAAAGAAACUUCACGUAAGACGUAAUGCUGCCUCUCCAGUGAGCUAGAUCUAGGGAUGCCUCGGCCACGAUGAUGGUCCAGCUAGAAGCCAGAUGGACCUUCAGGUCACCUUCUUCAAUGAGGAUGGGCUUCAACCUACUAUACAAACCGACUUUUUUUUAUUUUGAAUCAGAGUUACUUUCCAUAAAAUCCAUAGACAGUAAGUAGAUGGGUCCAUCAGCGUACUUAUAAGCCGUUGUCGUUUUGAACAAUGUUACUCUACAAACUAUAAAAUAAAUGUCCAGGUGACCCAUCUGUUGUAGGACUACCGGUCGUGGAUCCCAUGGGGCUCGUUAUCUUGGGCCACAUGUAUACUUGUGCGUGGGAAUCACUUACAUGGAUCACAUAAAUAAUUAAACAGUACCAAAUCUCCUAGAAUUGCUUCAAAUCUUGGGGUUUUAGUAUAGGAGUAGUGUAGAUUUGCUUAUACACCAUGCAUAUUUGAUACACGAAAAAAAUAUUCUUAUAAUAAAAAAGCAAUGUAAAUAACUCUUGUAUUUAAAGUAAAAACCAAACAUAAUCAAUUUAUUUGAAAUUAUAUUACUUUUGUCACAAAACAGAAUUAUUCAAUAAAGAAGGCAACAGAUCUGUCAAAUGUCCAACUCCUGCAAGCUCCGUAGUAACUAAACUUCUGCUUUCCUAUUCGCAGCAUCGAAUACUGUAUUGGACUUCCCUAUUUUCUUAGUUCUUGUUUUCGCACUUUGGAAGAUCUGAAGGCGGCGGGGGCAGAGUGUCACCCAGCAUGGGCCCGUUGGCCACCUCGAUGACCGUCGCCAUGCCCAUGGCAAUGUGGAACUCGAAGUGGCAGUGCAUGAACCACGCCCCUGGGUUGUCGGCGACGAACCGGAUGGCAGCCCAUCCAAGCCUUGGCACCUGCACCGUGUUCUUCAUCUGCGGGUCCACCACGUUGUAGCUGCUCACGUCCUUCGCCGGGUCGUAGUUGCCAUGGCCCUGCGCGAGCACGAAGAAAUCGUGCCCGUGGAGGUGCAUCGGGUUGGAGUCGCUUUGCAUCGUCGAGGUGCUCUGGAACACCACCUCGACCGUGGCGUUGUGCGCGAACCGCCGCACCGUCGUCGCCUUCCGCGUCGCCUCGAGCCGCUCCAGCUCGCCGCCGGGGACGACCGGGAUCAGCGCCGGGUCGGUGUAGUUGAAAGCCCUUGGAGGCCUGCUAGGCAGGUCCUGCACCACCACGGCGGCACCGGCACCGUUCAUCUUGCCGUAGUGUCGCGCCUCGAGCAGUGACAUCUUCUCAGGGAGACGGAAGGAGACGUUGUUCAUGUAGGCCACCUCUAUGGACUCGGGGUUUCCUCCCCUCCUGCAGGAUGGCUUGUUCCCCUUGCAGAUGCUGCCCUUGCCGAGCGAAAUGAAUAGAUGCUCGUCGACGCGACCUUGAAUCUUUGGCAGCAACGGGUGACCAGGCAGGCCUGAUAGGUUGCCAUGGAAGUAGAACGUCGUGAGCGUGUCGUGCUGAUCAGGCAUCUCAGGCAUGAGAGGCUCGUUCCUGCACUUGUCUGCGUCGAGUGGGAUGCCUCUGUACUGCACUAUCCCUCUGGACAUGAACACCGGAAUCUGGGGGUCCGGGGCCGGGGGCUGGUUGGCCAGUGCGACCAUGUAGUAGCGGCAAGGUGGGGCGUCAGCGACCAUGAGGACGUCGAUCGUCUCUCCAGGCGCAACCGCGACGACAUCGGUGGCGUAUGGCCUGACGUAGUUGGCGUCGGAGCCGACCACCGUGAACUUGUGAUCGGUGACUUUGAAGUAGUACUCGGAGAAGAGCGCCGCGUUCACUAGCCGGAGCAUGUACGUCUUCCCGUGCUCCACGUUCAGAACGAAGUUGUCUUCUCGUACCCCUGCACAACAAGGCUCACGGCCGGGGUACAUUAUUUUGUAUGUUUUUGUUGUUAAAUUCUUAAAAGACUUGAAGAUGUAGCAGGAACAUAUAUGUAUGCGCUGGGACAGUAUUUUACCGGAGCAGUUGUAGAGAUCACUGAGCUUUCCAUUGAUGGUAGCUGCAGCAGGGUUGUCACUGAAUGAGCCCCCCAUGGAGAAGUUCUUGUCCACUUUCAUCAAAUCUCUCUGCCACCAUUCAGCUGCAAGCAAGGUCGAUGGAACAAGAUCAGAAUACAGCAAAAACUGGCUAGAGAUGCAUCAUUCUACUACUAGAUACCCGAUUACCUAUGAUGAUGGGAACAUCCACGUGAGGCUUCUGGAAUGGGUAGGAGCUAGACUUUGGGCGGAUGACGAUGAUGCCGUGCAGGGUUGCCCGGAGGAUGGAGACGUGGGCGUGCCACCACAGCGUACCCACCUGGCCGUCGACGUUGAACCGGUAGGUGAACGUCGUGUUUGGCUGGAUCGGGCACUGUGUUAUCAUUCCGGCGCCAUCGGCCCAACAUGUUAAUCGCUGCUUUACACCGUGCCUGUGUAUUAUUACAAGAGAAGAAGAUGUUUAGUUGUUGACUUGGUGGUAGCUCAAGUAUCGAGAAGAGAUUGACCUAAUCCAGAUUAUGAUAACUAGUAGCUAUCAUCCCGUGCUCCAGCGCGAGCUAACAAUUUUGACAUUUUGGGAGACAUAAUUUUAGAAAUUCAAAAAAUAUUAAGACCCGUAGCUAAUAAUGAAAAUUAUUACCUUGAGCUCUCUCUAAUUUAUGAUAGACUUUAGUUAGUAAUUAUUCUAUAUACUUUUUAAUCCAUAUUCAUAUUUUUUUCACUUUGCAUCACACCUCUAGAUGUGUUUAACUGAUUGAACCCUUAGUUUGAGCUACGUGUUUAACAAGAAAUCGAUAUUCUUAUUGUUUUCUCCAAACAAGUAUGCAUGGACAUGGUGACACAAAAGAUACACUGAUGCAUAUAUAUAACUUAAUAAGUUAGUAUUUGUUGCCUAUUAACAUGACAGGAAUAUAUAAUUUAGAAUUAUAUAUUCGUGUACUUUGGGAUGAUUUUUCAUAAUGACAUAUGUAGGUUAUUUUUAAUAAUAGCAUGUAUUGGCAAUUUAGAUGUAAGUUUAGAGUUUGAGUAACAUAUUUAACAUGGAAAAUAGGUAUUCUCAUCUCUUCCUCCGAACAUGUAUACAUGAUCUACAUGGUGACACGCAUCAUGCAUACAUACCUCGAGUUAAUUCAAGGCAGAAUGAAGCAUUGUAUCAAUCCCUAACAAAAAGAUAAUUUGACCAUGUCUUGUACAUCCUGAUACUUAAUAUAAUUAUUAUAUUUUUAGUCGAGAGCGGAAACCAUUGGAUUAAUUUCUAUCUGUGCUAUAGGUUAAACUGAGGAAUAAAGGAUUAUGUAACCGUGCAUAAGCUAAUAAUUAAACCGAAUUCUGAAGUAUUCUUAUUGUUGUUACCUGAAAUCAGUUGUUUUACCUUUCCACAUGAUAUGAAGUAAUGUUGCAAUCUUGGGGACAUACGUACCAGUGAAUUGUUAUUUCAAAGGGUGACUCGUUGACGACGUGUACAACAACCGUGUCUCCUUCCGUAGCCUCUACCGGUGGACCGGGAAACUGACCAUUCACAACCGUGACCAGGGUAUCAUUGCAAAGAUGUCGCAUAUACACUUGCUUUACCUGCAAGUAGUUGCGCUGGAUUAUACCCUUUUCAGGUCAAUAAACAAUCAAGCAGGCUUUCAGGUGAAAAGGGCUGCGUAGCUUUCAGUGUCUUAUCAAAAUUUUAUUUAUUGACUUAUGCUAAACUAAUAACUUUGUCCUAACUCCCAAGUCAAUUUUUUUCUAACUUUGACAAAGCUGCAGAAAAAUGCACCAACAUUACUAAGUUUGUUUUAUUAAAUUCACCAUGAAAUAUAUUUUGAUAGUAUAUUUAUCUGCUCUUGCAUAUGUUAAUAUGUUUUUUCUAAAAAAAAUUAGUUAAAAUUAGAGCAGCUUAACUUAGGAAAAAGCUAAAAUGAUCUAAAAUUUGGAACAGAGGUUGUAUCUUAAUUAAUUGGAUGGGACAAAACUGUAUGUCAGCGCCAAGAAGUACAUAACUAUAGCCCCUUGUUUUAAAUUCUUUAGGAGUGGUUUAAAGAGGUUUCAAAUAAUCACCCCUAAAAAUGUUUUAGUACUGUGUUUGCAUUUGAAUUUUUCUUAAUUAAUUUUUUUUGCCUAUUCAUGGCCUGUGUAGAAAAAAUAUAAAUUGCUACUCACACUGAAUUAUAUUUGUUAUGCGAUUAAGAAAAAAAUUGUAGAAGUGUUCUAGGUACUCAAGAAUUAUUUCAGAUUUUCUUAAAUAUUUUGAAAAGAAGCCCGAGCAGAAGGCAUUACUACUCACAACAAACGUGUGCUCAACCACCGCCGCUUCGCUACUUGCAGCUCCAGACAGGGCCACGGCGGCGUAGAAGAAGAAGAGGGCUGCUGCAAUGGGAAGCAUCUUACUCAUCUUUUGCUUUGGUGCUGUUUCCUCUAUGUCUCUACUUCUAUGCCUCUACAAUGUUUCUUCUCCAGCGUGCUCAUGUCAUGGUUUGCUUAAUUCACCAAAACCCCAAGGCCUUAUAUAGACGCAAGUAGGUGGAUGCUCGAUUGCUCGCUCGUGUACUCGUCUAAGCGAAGAUCCCGAGGAAAGACAAAGCCAAAGGUUAUUACUAGGGUUCGGUCAGAAGCUGCGUCAUAUUCUUGAAAAAGAUAUAUGACAACCUUGACAUCUACUUUGAAAUUAUGUUCAGUCAGAAUUUGUUUUUUUCUUUUUUUGCGGGUGAUAUAUUCAGUCAAAAAGAUAUAUGACGACCGAAAGGGUGCAACGCCCCUGGAAGCUACAGUACGUGGCCAGCAAAGUGACGCACAUGAGAAGAACUAGGUUAGGAAAACACAGGAAGCUAGCAGCCGUCAAUAACCAAACGCAUACAGUGCGGAAACUCGAUUGUUAGUAAUACUUUGAUUAAGUCCAUGUCGUAGCAAGUUUUUUCAGCUGAGUUAUUAAUAAGGGUGUCAAUUCGCAUGACUUUGGCAACAGGAUUCAGGAGGGAAAAAACAAUUAGUUGCAUUGCACGCGCGUCAGACCAUUUCGUUGUGCCGUUAGCUAGUCAAAGCUGCUGAAUUACCAAAAUCAUGGAGAAAAUAGAGGCUAUUAAUAACCUGUAUCUCUGUAUGGUUCCAGCAGCUGUCACUGUUACUCAUCCUCGGACGGCGCGUGGCAGCAGGCAGCACCGCCCUUUGCCACACCAUGUUCUAAUUUCAAGUCUUCUCCAGCGCCGGUCCUACACCUCUACCGCGCCUCCCUCUAGGGUAAGGAACCAAAAACAAAAACAAAACAAAACUGCUGAGGUCAAGACGACGAGGAUUCCCUCUAGACGGUACUCGCUCGCGGUAUACAGAAGAUAGUCCCGUCCUGAUAUAUAUGUGUUAUACACCAUAAACGUGUUUAGUGGCAUCUUAAACUUUUAUGGUGCCCAUAGUGGCUUCAUUUAGUUAAAUAGCAGAUAAUAUUAUUACAGUCGUUGCAGAUUACAAAAUAACGUGUGGAUCCAAAAGAAAGAUCACAUCACAUUUCUAAUGUACUCACAGUGUAGGCUUGUGAUGGACGAGGCAUAGGAGUUGCGAGACAAGGCGAGGGAAGGAACUUGCUGGGCUGUCCAAUGGAGCCGACGGCAUCGGGUCGUCCAGCGAUGCCACAAUUGUGGUCAGUAAAACAGGUAAAGCAUAUGCAUAUCUCUGCCAAAUCUGAAAGGCAGUGUGCCCAAUUUGCUCCGAAAGGGCAUCAAUUAGUAGGUCUGCUGCAAUCAACUCAAUCUUUUGGUAUCACAUACACUGGAUAAGGUACAGAUCCUGCCCUUUGUCCACGUAGCGAAACAGCAUGAGAGGCGACUCCCAUGGCGACCACCCACCAGAAACCCACUCGCCGCCCAAAUCCACCAUCCCGGCCAACAACCACACCAAAUCCACCACAGAUCAGGAUGCGCCUGGCGACGAUCUACAAAUCCACCCAACCUUUGUAGCGGAAGAACCGAGAAGGACCGAGAUCGAGUCAUGCCAAGAGCAAGCAAGGUAUCAAGGACCAGUCGAGGACACCGGUGUGCAGGAGCUGACACCAGCGGCGGCCCACCAUCAAGAUGAGGAUGCUCCUUCCCAAGAUCAUCAAGCAAGGCCGGAGGACAGCAUUCUUCCGGAUCUCACCCAAGAUCUGCGCCUACAGGCGGACAUCACUCUGACAAGACCAGGGGCGAGACUUGAUGGGCCAGAUGAAGACCCCCUGGUGAAGGAUCUCCUCCAACGGCUCGCCAGUAGGGAGAUCCCGCAGAAUCCACCAGCGGACGUCACCACGGCACAGACUCCCCAAGGUACGCGAGUUAUGGGGAGAGAGAUGAAGCAGUCCAUCAGUUCAGAGAAGGGGAAAGGGCAGGUAGCUGAAGCAAGACCGAGGCAACAUUCAAUUCAGCUAGCAGCGAGAGAAAGGAGUAAUACCACAGGCAAUUGGAAGUUCCAGAGUGGUGAAUGCUCGAGAGUAUCAGGGGCACAAGGCAGGCAAUCUUCCUAUUACCAAGAACGAUCCAAGCGACCUUCCCAACAAGAGUGUCCCAGGCGAACAGAGCGUCACUGGCAGCCAGAGGCACAGCUGGAAGAACACGGCUUCCAGAUUGUCAAAGCACCCUACUGGUGGAGAAAGAUUGGAACACAUUCAAGAGAAGAUUCAAAACACCACCAACCGGGCCAGGAAGAACGAAGGAAGAAGUACAGGGAGCACGUCAAAGGCAAAUGCCUUAAUUGCUAUUCCACACAGCACAGAGUAGCACACUGCAACUACCAAGCUAAAUGCUGGAGAUGUUUGAAGCCAGGGCACCAAGCCCUCUCCUGCCCAUCCCGAAGAAAUCGAUAUAAGCAACCCUCACCAGAGCAACAACAGCACAGCCACACUCCUCCUCGUUCAACCCAGGCCGGCCAGGCCACUCGCACGGCCGACCGUUCUUAUCUCCAAGCAGCAAAGGGGGAGUCCACCCCCAUGGCGGCGUACCCGGGAGACCCGCGUGCUCGCCCGGACCAGGCCUUCUGCGCGGUCACGGCAACCGGAUCAAUCAAGCGCAGGAGGGAGGCGUUGGUGGGCAGGUCGGCGAUCUGUUGGCUCAAUGGCAACAGCCACGACACCGGAACACACCACGUCGUCGAAGCCCUCGAAGAGCAGCUCCACAUCAACCGUCAUGAGGUGCGCGUCGUCAAGCACUUCCCCGAGCAGUACCUGGUGUUCUUCUCCGACUGCAGAGCAUACAACCGCGUCCUCCAUCACCGUGGCAUCCGCAACAGAGGACGGGUGUUCAACUUCGAGCCAUGGUCUGAAGGCCGAAACGCGGUGGAAAGCAAGCUGGAGUACAGAGUCCGCCUGCGUAUUGAGGGCAUGCCGGUCCAUGCCUGGUCCGAGGCGGUGGCAGCCCAAGUCAUCGGCCAACACUGUGCCAUCCACUUCGUCGAGGAACAGUCACGCCGCCAGGAACGCACAAGGACAUAUGACCUGUGGGCAUGGUCAUCCAACCCAAGUAAGAUACCCAAGAAGGUUUUGCUAACCGUUACUGAUCCUGACAGGGAGCAGCAACCCAUUGACGUCCCCCGCAACCUCGUCGAGAUGCACCUUGACCCACCCAGGGGCUUCAAAGGGGCCUACAAUUACAAGCUGCACAUUCAUCUGGAUGUGGUGGAGGACCUCUCCUUCCUCCACGGGAGGGGUGGAGGCGGCGGACACUACAGGAAGCCACGCCGGGAGUUCCUCUGGAACUACGGGGCAGCUGACUCCCUCGGAGAACGGCGCAGCGGCCAGGGCCACGACGACCACACAGGACGGGACUACCGACCACGACACGACAGAGACGACUACGAUGACAACUUCCAGCGUGGCGUGCGUCGCCACCGCAGCAACUCCGCCUGGGGGAGAAUGACGCGCUGUCGGGGGACAGUGGACGACUGCUAUAGCUCCAACCGCUACCGCGACAGCAACCACGACUACACCGGCCACCGUAGCAGGGUUGGGCCACCGGACAGCAGCAACCUGACAUGGCACAAGAAGAAGGGCCCCCUCAAGAGUGUCACCUUCGCCAACCCAAUGGUACAGAUCUUGGGUGAGUCCUUGCAUCUCCCUAUCCAGUGCUACACAGAUGAGGCCCUUAUCCCCCAGGACAGAGCAGAGGAAGCAAUGGAAAGGAGUGAUCCAAUGAGAGAAGAAAUGCUCAUCACUCACUGUUAUGCAGGGUUCCCAUCCAAGGAGCGGCGCAUCCUGGAUAUGCUGGAGGCGCCAGGUUGGACUCCAGUCCCAUCCCCAGUUGGCGGCAUCAACACUGACAGCAGCACACUCAGCUUCAAGCCAUUUGAGGUGCACAAUCCUACAACUGAACUUUCCACUGCAAGUCAUGAAUUAUGUUUGUGGGAUAAGAUAAUUCAAUUAGAAAAUCAAGCACAAACUCUUGAGUCUCCUACACAGCCAUCUCCAACGAUCCUAGAACCUACUGAAGUAAACACAAACCUAACAUUCAGCACUGCCACUACAUCCGAUUCGCCUGAAGUCGCUACCACUGAACCUCCUGAACACACAUUACAAGUGGCUAAUACUGUGAGAGUGCAAACCCAGGAACCAAGCAGAGCAGACGCCUCCACCUCCACAAACAGAUCAAAUAACUCUGAAAAUGUGCUAGCUGAUAGGGAGACAGACCAGGUGGACGACAUGACCAGCUUCCUUAAUUUCAUCUCACAUGUACCAGUUGCUCCCAUUUUGCACACACCACCGAGAGUAAAUCCCAUCCAGCAAGAAAGCCAUGGAAACAUUCCAGCUCCUAGCCACAGGAAGAGCUCACGCCUAGCAGACAAAGCUAAGCUACACUCAGGCAAAGAUAGCAUUCAGCUUGCACAGAGUAUUCUGAUUAGCAAAUUGGGGGAAUUAUCACCAAAAGCACCGCACCAAGAUAAACCUGACUUUGAUAAUUUUACGCAGCAUCUCCCGAAGCCUUUGACAAGCAUGAAGAUGGCUGCGAUCCAGACUCUGGUGGAGCAAGGAAACAAGCCUAGGAGCAAGAAGAAAGGCAAGGUGACGCCGGCGCCUGUAGAGACAAUGGAGGCAUGACCAUCGCCUCCCAGUCUCGACCUCCCAGUCUCUUAGUCGUUAUAUUUUUAUUAGCAUGUUUAAAUUGAAAACUCAGAACUUCCCUCGGUGUGUAAUUUUAAUGGGGUCCUACGGCUUCAGCGGUAUUUGGACCACGACGGGCCUAGAGUCGACGUCCAUGAAGCUCGUCAAGUUGCCCGCGACGGUGAUUUGUUGGUGCCUGGCUUUGUAUCCGACCUUUGCGUCUAGCCCCAUCGUGGGUUUGUAUCAGGCCUUUACGCCUAGCCCCAUCGGCACAAUCCCUUUAACAACUCAAGCUGUGCAAGUUGAUAAUCAUUGUUAUGUCGCAAAAAGACUGUAACAUACUAUGCUGGAAUGUCAGAGGAUUAAACGCGGCUGCACGUAGAGCGAGUGUGCGCAAUACGAUCAUCUCAUCAGGGGCAACAAUCAUUUGUCUUCAAGAAACUAAAAUAGCCCAUUGGACAACACGCCUUAUCAAUGAGACGCUGGGACAAGAUUUUGCAAAAAAUUUUGUCGCCCUACCAGCCAACGACACAAGGGGUGGCAUCAUCCUAGCAGCAGCGGAUAGGCAUUUCCGUCUACAUGACACCCUCACUACGACAUACACACUAUCCGCGACCAUUACCAUGAAAGCGGACAAUACGUCCUGGAAGAUCACGGGGGUUUACGGACCACAGAGCGACCAGGAAAAAUUGAACUUCCUAGAUGAAUUAAAGAAUCUAAAAGACCAAGUCCCUGAACGUUGGCUAAUAGUGGGAGACUUCAACCUGAUAUACAAGGCCGAAGACAAAAACAACGGUAGACUAAAUAGAGGGCUCAUGAGAAGAUUCAAGCAAGUUCUUGACAUAAACCAACUCAUGGAAUUAGACCUACGGGGCAGAAGAUAUACGUGGAGCAACGAACAAGAUUCGCCAACAUUUACCAGAAUCGACCGAUUCUUCGGAACACCAGAAUGGCAUACCCUCUUUCCAAACUCCGACCUGCAAGCUCUACCGACCAUGGGAUCAGAUCAUUGCCCAUUAUUUUUAACAGGGGACGUGGCACGGCAACACUACACUGGUUUCCGAUUUGAAUCAUUUUGGGUGUCCAUGCCAGGAUUCAUGGAAAUAAUUCAGGGGGUUUGGAAUCAGUCAGUCAACACGCAGGACGCCAUUCUGCGAAUGCAUGUUAAGCUCAUCCGAGCAUCAAAAGCACUUAAGCUAUGGAAAAGGCAAAACCUGGGCAAUCUAGCAUUACGAUUAGCCAUAGCAAAGGAGGCUCUCCUCCUCCUGGACGCCGCACAGGAACAACGACAAUUGACACUAGCGGAGCUUGAAUUCCGUAAAUAUCUAAAGGCAAAAUCAGAUGGACUGGCGGCCAUCCAAAGAGCCAGGGCACGACAACACUCCAGACUGACAUGGAUAAGAAAAGGAGAUGCAUGCACCAGAUUGUUCAUGUUACACGCAAAUAA
rnacentral:lncRNA from 1 species